AAAAGAAAAAAAAUAUGCUCGUUUAAGCUUGAGUUUAGAAUAGGAUAUAGAAAAUUAAGUCUAGAAAAUUCCAAAAAAAAAACAUUUUGCUUCUUUUAUUUCUCUUAUCUCAUCAGAAUAGUCAUUAAGGUAAAAAAACAAAGAAAAAAAAAAGAAAAAAAGAGAUUGUUAGUUUAUUUAGUCUAUUCUCGACUCUCCCGAACUACGCAAUGAUCUGAUUCAUGCAGCGUCAUGAUACAUAGGCAAUCUGCAUAGAGUUCGAUCGAAUUAUUUUUUUAUUAUUAAAAGAAAAAAAAAGAAGGAAACAAAAAAAAAGGAAAGGGAAAAAAAGAAGGUGAAAUUAGGGGAUGUGAGAAAUCAGAGGAAAGAAGAGAGUAUUAAUUUGAAAGAAAAAAAAGAAGGAAAAUGAGCAAGCCAAGAAGUGCUAGAAAAUCAAAGAAAAGAGAAGAUUGAAAUGAACAAAUUGGGAUGAUCCCAAGUGACCUUGUGACCCUCGAAGUCAUUCUUGAACCGUUAAUUGUUGCUAGGUGCAUUGCACGCAAUGUGAUAUUUUAGUUGUUAAAUGCCCUAACGCUAACAUGUUGACUUCACUUUGUUCCUUUUUGAUAUCCUCAUUAUAGCUGAAGGGUGGUUAGUUUGUGGUUCUUAAGGUAACUCAUCCAUACAAUACAAGGUCAAAGUGCAAGUUACCCAUGACUAGCAAAGACCUGGACACAAGAGUUGUUGACCCGUCGAGGGAGUUUUUGGAGUCGGAGUCCGAAUUGAAAGAGGAGGUCCAAAGGUUGAAACGGCAGAUGGCAGAAAUGUAUCAGUCUUGGGUCAGGGGGCAUCCUCCACCUUCAUUCCCCGCUAACUACACUGAAAACCCUGCAACUAUCCUGCCACUAUCACAAAUCUAGCUCCCUACUAAUGUUGAUCUACCUGCAACAUUUUCACACUCCACCCACCAAAACCACCGCAUAUCCCGCUCCUUUGGCCACUCAUGCUUUUGUAGAUCCUCCACCAGCAACUUUUCUUCGAUCCUCUAAUGAGACUGUGUUCAAAGUCCCCGAUGUCCAACACUAUGCUCCAGAACAAACUUUUCACGCUCCUAAUUUUGAGCCUCCCGGUGAAACUAAAAAGCAUGAUAAGACAGUGGAGAAAGAUGAGAUAUCCAAGAAGGUAAAAAUCUUAGAGCAGUCUUUAAGAAACAUGCAAGGGAUAGAGAGCCAGGUGAGCGUGCCUUACAAAGACUUGUGUUUGUUUCCUGACAUCCAGCUGUCUGCUGGGUAUAAGAUGCCAAAGUUUGAUUUGUAUGAUGGGCAUGGAGAUCCAAUAGCACAUCUGAGGGGUUAUUACAGUGAAAUGAGAAGUGUUUGCGGGAAAGAUGAACUGUUGAUGGCAUAUUUCAGUGAGAGUUUGAGUGAGGAAGCUUUGGAGUGGUAUACUCGUCAAGAUAUCAGUAAAUGGCUUUCGUGGAGUGACAUGGCUCAAGAUUUUGUUUGAAACUAUCAGUACAAUGUAGACAUUAUCCCAGACCGCUCCUCCCUAUCUCAGACGAAAAAGAAACCUGAGAAAAGUUUUGGGGUAUUUUGGCUUAAAUGGAAUGAAUAAGUUUCUCAAGUCAGCCCUCCGAUUAUAAAAAAGAUGUUGUGAGUCCCACCAAUGAUGGGAUCUAGUGGGCAUUCCUGUUAAACACUUUCAGCCUCAAUACCGAUCCCAUGAAUAUACUCGUACUCCAGAUAAUCUUUCCCAGUGCUACUUUUCUCCACAAAAUCCCCAAAGUCAUACCUCAUCUUCCCUGUACCCCAUCCACAAUGCACCACCAUAUGCUCCACACCCACGAGACCCGCAAUGGCCUGCACCACCUCCACAAAUUUCAUACCCACCUCCUCAAACAUAUCAACCACCUACCCGAAAGAGGGUCCAACCAAGGUAGAAGCUCAAAAUGAGAAGGCAACAACAAAGAGAAAAGUCUUUCACUCUUGUUGGAUAAUCAUAUCUCAUUUUGUUCCAAAGAUUGAGGCAAUUGAACAUGUUGAAGCCAAUUCAGAUAAAAAUGUUGAACCCCCUUCCAAAGAAUUUUGAUUAUUCUCAAACGUGCGCAUAUUGCUCUAAUUCCCCGGGGCACAAUAUAGAAAAGUGUUGGAAUCUGAAAAGAGCAGUCCAGAAGCUUGUCGAUGCAGGUGACAUUACCGUGACAAAUCCAGAUACAGCGGAUACUAGCCAAAGUCCAUUGCCUGUUCAUAAUGAGACGCAUGAGGUGGUCAUGAUUUGUGUUGAAAAUGAAUAUGAAAACUCUUCUGAGUUCCUUGGAAGGCCACUUGCUGCAAAGUUUACAGCACUAUCAGUCUCGGUUCCAGAAGUUGAUCUUAAGAAUGAAUUGGCAAAAGAGACCCAAAAGCAAUUUGCUAAGGUCAAUGUGAUGGAGACUUUUGAAGGUCCUAGUAAUGUUGAUGCGGAACUCAAUGGCUAAGAUGUCGAGCUUGGUGAUUAGAAAGAUGCUCUUCUCUUGACUAGCCGGGGAGAAGUCUUGGUGGUUUAUUUUGUUGUCAUUUCUGUUGUCCGGGUUAUUUCAGGGUUGUAAUUCGGAUAUUGUCUUGUGACUCAAACUCUUCUAUCAUUUUAUUUUGUCUAGUUUGUUUAGUCGUAAUAACUCGUUUAGUGUUAUAUAGGUUUGUUCCAUGGUUGUAACCCCAUUUUAGUUUGUUUAUUUCGUUGUUCAAACCCUUUCACAGUCUGUCUAAUGUAAUUUUUUGUUUUAUGUUAUUUCUAGUCAUUUUUUGCUUAGUUCUCUUUUCCUUUUAUAUUUCUUUUCCUGCUGACUCUUGUGACAUGGCAUGCACGCAUAAUUCUAGGCCUGGUCUUAAAAUUUAGUUUAAUCAAGAAGCAAUGAAACAAUUUUGAAGAUGAUAGGGACACUUGAGGGAAAUAAGUACAGAUUUGGACAUUUUGAGAUCAUUUGAAGCCUGAACCAUGUGAAACUGGGGCAGAUAGUUUGGGAAGUUAAUAGGACGACAAGAAUCUGUUACAAGAGAGUGCAUCCCAACAAUUUGAAGUGAGAAGUUUUGAGUUCAAGUACACCUCAAUUCACAAGAUAAAGUCAACGGAGUUUGCUCCAAACAGACGGAGGGUAUCCAUCAUGAACAAGAAAUCACCCAAUGAGAGUUCUGUACUUGACAAGGCACUAAAUAAAGUGGAAAGCGUAUAAGUGAUAUCAAUGCCGAAGCUGUAAAAGAAAUGUUGUGUGUGCUCUUCCUUUUUCAUUUCAUGUUGCAUGUGUUGUACUUGACAUUUUUAGGGAUUGGGAGUCCCUCUUUCAGCUACCCAAACACUUAUACCAUUCGAUAUCAUUUUGAGCCUAUACUGAUUUCUUUGACCUCCCCUCUUUUGGAAUCAAUUUAGAGUCAUACGAAAAAAAAAUCAUGUACCCAUAGGUUUAUUUUACAAAGAUCAUUCCAAAAGGAAAAUUCAAAAAAAAUAGAGAUAAAGAAAAAAAGAAAAAAAAACUAGAAAAAAGAGAAAAAGAAAAAGAAAAGGAAAAUAGUAACAAAAAGUAGUCUUGUGAAUUACGUUUGACCUGAUUCUUGCCACCACAAGAUACGUAGGCAGUCUUACGGUUCGGUAAUACCAAAUAAAAUAUUUCAUAAUCCCACGAAGUCGAGAUUGGGGUAGUUUUUCUAGAAAUUUCAUCUCAAAAAGAAAAAGAAAAAAGAGAAUUAAAUUUCCUUAUUUUAGAAAUAGGGGCAAAGUUUUAGAAUGGAUUCCAAAAGUUGUAAAUAAAUUAACACCGUUGUCUUAAUUAUUUUGAGCCUUUAUGAUAUCCUUUCUUUCUAACCUUGUCAAAAAGCCACAUUACAGUCCAAAAAAGACCUCCCGGAUAAUUUUUGAGAGUGCCGAGUCAGACAUGCCAGGAGCAUAUGAUAUUUCUAUCAUGGUCAAUGCCUUGUCAUAUACCGAAUCGGAGGAAAGAAGAAUAAACAAAAAGAGUCUUAUCGGUGGAAAUCUUCACAGGCACCAUAAGGCGACGGUAAGUUGAGAGAAAGAAAAAAAUAAGAGAGGCUUGAUGGUGAAAACCCUUCGGGCACUACAAGUCGAAUAAGGAUUGUGAAUCGGAUAGGAUAAUCGGAGCAUUGAAGCCCAGUUUCACGGCGAAGAGGUACAACAAGAGUUGAACAUUAGACUUGCUUGACAAAUUAGGCCACUUAAUCCAAAGGAGCAUGUCAUGGUCAUUAGAGUUAGUAUCCACAUCUGAUAAGUUUCUACUUUGUAGUUUUCUUGUUAGGAAUCAUCUCUUUCCAUUGUCCUUUACUGUGUUCAUUUUGUCUUGUUUACUUCCUCUUCCUGAGUUUGUUUGGUUAGAACAAACGAGAAAUGACUUCAAAAUUUUCUACCAGCUUUCCAAUUGCACAAAACAGAGUCUGGCCAGCACAUCAAGUGGCAUAAGUCAGGAAAGAACAGUAUGCGCACUGAGUCGGUAACAAUUAACAUUCUUUGGGAUUCAUGUGAAAUACAAAGGUUCGGUAAAUGUCAAUUCAUGAGCAAAAUGCAACGGAUAGAUGGUAUUGAGUUUGAAUGAAUCAAAGGUAUUUUCUGCGAUAAGGGUGACAGAGAAAGUGGUUAGUCAAUAAGCAAAUAAUGUCUUUCAAGUUGAAAUCAAAGCUAUAAUGGCAAGUGAAGGAGCAAUCGCCCUCAAAGUCAAGGCCACAAACCAACCACCAUGUUACUCACAUGUUUUUUUUGUUUGAAACAGGGACGAAAGCUAUGUUAUAUCAAAGCUUGGAAGCUUAAAAUUUUCAGGUGUAAUACCCCAAUUCUACUUACGCAAAGGCUAUUGAGAAGAUAACACAUCACUCCUCGUAGAAACACUUCCUAGUUUGGGUUUUCAAAUUAUAUUUUGUUGUAGGAGACGCAUUUCCUAAAUUGAGAUUUUUUACCUUUAGCAGACACACUUCCUAGUUUGGAUCAUAUGAGUUUUAGUCAAUGAAGUUUUCACCCCUAGGAGAUGCACUUCCUAGUCUUGGUCAUUUAAAUUCAUCCCUAGGAGACGUACGUCCUAGUUGGAGUCAUUGAAAUUUUACCCAUUAGGAGACACACUUCCUAGUACGGGUCUUUUAGAUUAUACUUGUUAGGAGACGCACUUCCUAGCUUUGGUCAUAUAAAUUCAAUCCUAGGAGAUGCACUUCCUAGUUUGAGUCAUUGAAGUUUCACUUCUAGGAGACGCACUUCCUAGUCUGGGUCUUUCAGGAUACACUUUUAGGAGAUGCACUUCCUAAAUUAAGUUUCACCCCUAGGAGACGCACUUCCUAGUCUGGAUUUUUCAGGAUACACUUUUAGGAGACGCACUUCCUGAAUUGAGAUUUUAUUUCUAGGAGACGCACUUUCUAGUUUGAGUCAUUGAAGUCCCACCCCUAGGAGACACACUUCCUAGUCUGGGUUUCUCAGGAUACACUUUUAGGAGACGCAUUUCCUAAAUUGAGAUUUUACCCCUAGAAGAUGCACAUCCUAGUUUUGGUUUAUUUAAGUUCAUUCUUAGGAGACGCACUUCCUAGUUUGAGUCAUUGAAGUUCCAUCCCUAGGAGACUCACUUCCUAGUCUGGGUUUUUUUAGGAUAUACCUUUAUGAGAUGUACUUCCUAAAUUGAGAUUUCACUCCUAGGAGACACACUUCCUAGCUUUGGUUAUUUUGGUUCAUUCUUCAAAGACGCACUUCCUAGUUUAAGUCAUUGAAGUUUCACCCCUAGGAGACGCACUUCCUAGUCUGGGUCUAUCAGGUUAUAUUUUGUUUUUGGAGACACAUUUCCUAAAUUGAGAUUUCGCCUCCAGGAAGCGCACUUCCUAGUUGCAUCAUUUAAGUUCAGCCCUAGAAGACGCACUUCCUAGUUUGGUCCAUUCAAGGUUCAGCCCUCGGAGACUCACUUCCUAGUCUGGUUCAUUGAAGUUUUACCCAUAGGAGACACACUUCCUAGUCUGGGUCUUUCAAGUUAUAUUUUCUUUUAGGAGACGCACUUCCUAAACUGAGAUUCCUCCCCUAGGAGACGCAUUUCCUAGUUUGGUUCAUUCAAGUUUCACCCUAGGAGACACACUUCCGGAUUUGGAUCAUUCAGGUUAUAUUCUUAGCAGACGCAUUUGAUGGUCAAAGUUUCUUGGUCUUACUCAUAGGAGAUGCAAAUCCUAGUGGAGUUUCUAGUUUACUUUCAACAUUUCAUCAAUAGCAUAAGUGGUUUACAGUUUUGCUAACAACUCACAAAUCUUCCUAAUGCAAACUGGGGCAGAAAAUUUUGUUUGUUUUGAUUGCAGGCACCCACCUGGAAAACAAGGGAAUUCGCUUCGGAAUUAUUUCAAGUUUCAAGUUAGUAUCAGGCGCCCACCUGGAGAACAAGGAAAGUCAUUUCAGAAUUCAAUUCAAGUUAGAAGUAGCAGAAGCUCGCGACAAGAAUGCGAGUCAGUAGUCCGAGCUGAUCAACAAAAGUAAUCUCAAUCCGGAAUAAGAAAAGAAAAAGAAAAAGAGAAAGAAAAGGGAUGUGAAUCCAAAAUGCAGAAGCUGAGACAAGAGGUGGAUUGCUCAAGACAUGACUGAAGUCACAAGCAUGGUGUGUCCGGUUUUGAUCCGAAGAAGCCGUGGAAGAAUGAAUCAACACCUGUAGCUAGCGAGCAUCAAAGUUCAGAUCAGACUCCGCAUGAAGAACCACUCAAGACUCAAGAUCAAGCUUUAGAAGUCUUAUAGAUAGGAAUCUUGUAACUCAUAGUUGGCAGGCUUAGUUAGUCUUUUUCAUUUUUUGAUUUUGAUGUAAUAAUAGGACUGCGGACCGGAACCUCGACGGAACGACACCUCAAUCGGCUCUCCACCUCGGUAUACUCCAUCACUGUUCCUACUUCUGAACUACAUGUGGCCUGAUUCCUUCACAACCAAGGAUAUGUAGGCAGCUCAGAUACCAUGACUCGGUCACAUUCUCCUUUCUUUAUGCUUUUGGUGUCUCUAAAUAAGGGUCGGGUCAAAAAACCUGUCUAGUCGUUCUUUGUCUGAAAAGACUUCAUGUUUUUAGUCAAAAAGGGGCAGCUAUAGACAUGUGAUUUUUGACCCUUCCCAAGAUUUUACACAUUUUUAGUGUAAAUAUUUAGUUUAGGUUUAAUAUCGCUAUUCUAAAUAUUUUUGACUCUUUUACUUUAUUUUAUUAUAAAAAAUGAAAAUUAAAAAAAUAUUUUCUUUUAUUUAGAUAAUUAACAUUUUAUCUAGUUACUUUUAAUUUAUCUACUUUACAUAAAAUUCAAAAAUACAAAAAUAAUUUCAUUUUGUUUUUAGGAAUAUUAUUUUAGUUUUUUGCAAUAAUUUUAAUCUAAUUCCAUUUUUUAUCUUUUAGUAUGGAAAAAUAGGUUUGUUUUAAUGGUUAGUCUUAUUUUAAUAUUUAUUUUAUUUAAGUAGGAUUAAUUAGUAAAUAAGGUAGUAUUUUAGUCUUGUUCACGGAGAAAGAAUAAAAUUUGGGCUCAAACGACCCAUUUUUAGGCCUAAUUUUUGGAUCUAGCCCAUAGAACCCAAGCCCAAUACCCCUAAAACCCUGUAAAGAAGCUUAAAAAGACCCUAGACAGAAAACCUAGGGGUAGACCUAAUAGAUCCGCCGAUUUCAAUACAUAAAAUAGACCCCCUGAAGAUCGUCUUCUUCGAGACCCCCCACCCCCCGAUUCAUCUUCUUCAGCCAUUUUCAACAUAGGAAAACCCCAAAAUAGACCUCAUCCCAACGACCUCCCUCUUUAAAAACAAAAAACUAACAACCAACGUUCACCAGUUCCGCCAUGAACGACCACCCCCAAGAGAAAAGCUAGCCGCUCUCACUUCAGCUUCCUCACUCGAGCUGUUGCUUCGCCGAAAUUGAUCACCGGCGAGUGGGCGCCACUAGCAACGGAUAUGGCCAGAAACCCCAAAACACAUUCGCGAUUUCGUCACUUAUACAAAAAAUGAAAAAAUAUUCUGGUUUUCUUCUUCCAUUUUUUCGACUUUCGUCUCAAAAAUCAGAGGUGUUGUCCUCUGAUUUUCGUUCCAAAAUGAAGGUCAUUUGAUGUCGUGUAUGGAUUCAAACUUUCUUGUACCGAUUCGAGGUUCUGUCAAGGUCCGUGUUCGAGAGUCCUGUCUGAUUUGAGUUCCAAUCGUGGUUGUGGUUUGUUUCCAUCCGUGUAACUGCUGAAAUUUUUAUUAAUUGAAGGCAACUUGAGGUUUAAUUCUUUCCUCUCUCAUUUUAUUCUAAUAUCGAGUUUAAUAUGUUUGAGACCUCUUUAUAUGGCUUUGUUUGAUCCUUGUAGUUGUAAAUCUCCCACGUUGAAUUGACUGAAAGUAUCCCUAGCAGGUGUCCACAUUGGAAUUGGUCUUUAUUCGUUCAAAAGAUGCAUACCAAUUAUGUAACUUCUACUUAUUUGUUAAUGUGGAUUGAUACUCAGAAUUCUAAUGGUAUAUGAGUACCAUUCUAUUGAUCUAGCUCAUUUCAUGGUUUCUAAAAAAAAUUGUGCUAAAAGCUUAUCAUCUUAGACAUUCUUAUUGGACAAGACGUUCCUUUCCCAUAUUGAAAAUAUUGUGUGAUUGGUAAAACAUGGUGAUAGAACAUUUAUUGACCGGAUAUAAGUAUAUGAAUUGAUCGGAUAUAAAUAUGAAUCAAAGUAUGCGUUCCCGCGAUUUUGAACGAAAAGAUCUUAAUAAUAAUAAAAUGCUAUUAAUCGUGUAUACGUUCGCGUGAUACGAGUAUGAUUUAAAGAAUGAAUAUUCUUAUAAAAAUCGAUUGUCACCUGAAUACUUUAUGCUAAGAUGUAUUAGCUGAUGUCUCCAAAGUCUUUGUUUUGUUUCUGUAGUUUUAUGACAAGUUUCCAGGAUUCUUGAGCUCUUGUAAGUCUUAAAACACAUCUGAACUAUAAGGAAGAAGACUUAAUUUUAUACGUUGCUAAUGGAUUCAUCAAUAACAAGAACUUGUUCAGUUUGAAAUUGUGGUUAGCUUUGUUGCUUAUAAUUUUAACAUAAAGAAGGAGAAUGUAUCUGUUGAAAAAUUAUUGUAGGAUAGUUCCUCCAGAUGCUUGAAUGCAUUGAAUAUGAUAACUGGCGUGGCAUUCAAAAUAAAUCGAGGUAUGCGUUCGCGCAACUUCGAGCAAACUUUCUUAAUAUUAAUAAAGCGUGAUUAACUUUGGACACGUACGCGUGACAUGAUUUUUGACGCGCCAAACAAAUGGUACACGUGUGCAUGACCUAUUUUGAGAUAAUUUCAUAAUUAAAAGAGGUAAAUGCACAUAGGUUCUAAAAUAAGUAAUUAGACAAUUUUAUUAAGCCAAGUAUGAUCAAAGCGACCGUGCUAAAACCACGUAACUCGGGAAUGCCUAACACCUUCUCCCGGGUUAACAGAAUUCCUUACCGGAUUUCUGUGUUCGCACACCAUAAAUAAGAGUCAACUUCCUCGAUUCAGAAUUCUAAACUGGUGACUUGGGACACCAUAAAUUAUCCCAAGUGGUGACUCUGAAUUUAAUAUAAAUAAUAUCGUUUCGAUUGUCACUUAAAUUGGGAAAAAACUCCCUUAAUACCCCUUCCGAGGUAGUAAAAAGGAGGUGUGACAGUACUCAAAACAAGGAUUUUGGAGAAGUACUGUCAUCUCUCUCAAGGGGAUGUCCCAAGACCGGCUCUAAGUACCAUAAGCUUGCCCCUUAUGUAAAUCACCAUUAAUAUCAGCUCACUCAACUCGAAAUCAUAUAGGGCUUUUGCGGGAAUGUGAUGAAGGCUUUUGGUUCAAGGUAGGACUUAUUGGCAUAUGAUGGUUUCAUCUUUCCUUAAGCACUCCAUUUUCUCAUUUCAGCUCACACUUUCUUGACUCUUUGAGUCAUUUUCUUCUUCCUUAGGGGAACUAGAGAGACACACAGUCACUCUUUCUUGUUCAUGACGAUCAUUUUUCUCUUUUUCUAAACAUUCCAUACCUUUCAUCAUUGCUUUCAUUGAAUCCCUUCACUUUCUAUAUUAUUCACUUUCAUUUUGACUUUUUGGCUUUUCUUUUACUUUCCCUUUUCUUCAUUUUGUACCUUAUAUCACUUUCACAUUCCUCAUCUCUCCCCCAAACUUAUGCUUUUGCCAAUUGUAAAUGCUAAGGAAAGAUCGGGUGCCAAGAGAGGGUCAUUAUAGAACGGAUAAAGGCUUGUAUCAUUGUUAUUGAAAGAAAAAGGGCUUCGGAUCAACGGGGUUGACUAGGGAUAUUAUAUUUGUUAGGUUAUGGAUGCUUUCAAAUUUCAAAUUGGAUCAAGGAGAGCCUAUAAUCAUUUCUCAAGUCGAGCUACACUUAGGAUUUUGCCUAGACAAACAUUCAGGGCAAGUUCUAGACUUAUUGGCACGGGACAUGGACUUGCAAUUCAAUACCUCUCCUCACAAGCUGUUGGAUUGUUAAAGAGGACAGAUUCAAGCGCCCACAACAAACCUAGCUAAUAUUGAGCAUCACAAAUGACUCCAAGAAGCCACUCGAUGAUUGUUUAGUCAACACAAGAGUCUAAAGGUCACAACUAGAACUAUUCUUUGCCAAUCAACUUGUUUCCAACCAUAAGGUCGAAUGUAAAUGUGUUAGGCCCAAGUGAAGCUUGCUUGAGACACUUCUAUUCAUUACUACUAUUUAUACAAGAACAUAAAGAAAACGGGCUCAAUCCCUUAAGAAGGUUGUCACGCCAUCCAUCAUCGAGAAGAGCCACCCAGUUCACACAACAUCCACCUUUGGAAAGGACUAUGACAUUAAGAAAACCAAAGGCUUAUUGUUCACAUAAAAUGUAAAAAAGAAACUAACAACUUAACAAGAAACUACUAAAGGAAAUAAGAAUCUAUGAAGUAAAUUACGGAAAUCAACUGAAUAUAUACAAAGUUGAAGUAAAGCGAAUAUUUACAUAAAUGAAAACGAAUAUAUACAUCAAGUGAUAAAAAUAUAUACAUACCAAAUGUGAAGGUUACGAAUUUAUACAUACCAAAAGUAAAAUAAAGAGAAGUAAAGAUAAAGAAAAAUAGUCUCAUAGUUAUUACAUACCAAUGUUAUCCAAUUAUCACCAAAUCAAAAUAGACCCCUCCCCCCCCAAAUAAAAGAUAACAUUGUCCUCAAUGCUAAUGCCAAAAAUAAGAUCAGCGAAAGGGUUAAAGAGCAAAGAAAACUUCCUAUGUGGUCUGCAUCGGGUCCGGAACAUGAGUAGGGUCCUCGAACUGCAUAGGAUCGGCAUAUCCCUCCGUUUCCUCUAACUAGAUCUCCAAAUCUGACUGGGGGACCAUGGGGUUACGGAGCAUCUAGAUCAACUCUGCAGCACUAUGUGUAAUGGCAGUUGGCUCCUCAGACUGGCCAGCUGCUGGUGCCUGCUGCUCUGCUGCAUGUGCUGCUGGGACUUGCUCCUCCAUGAUCAAGUCCAAUGGGAUAUCACCACUAGAUGUCAACCUCUCUACAACCUUCUUCAGCUGCUUCACUGACUCCUUUGAGGCCCGAGUCUUCUUCAUCUUCUUGACUUGCUUGCCUGGAUCCUUUAUAGCCCUUCCAUGAAUAUCCAAAUAUCCAUGAUCUUAUUCUGGUUGUCCAGGAGCUUCUUCUGGUUGUCCAGAAGCUCCUUCAAUGACUCCUCCACUAUUAAAGGUACUUGGGGCUAUGCCGGGGCUGACUGUGCUGCUACUGCACUGGAUAAGACAGACAGCUUUGAUGUAGCUGCCUGCAUGCAGUUGUUGAUGCUGGAUAAAGUCUGAGAAACCCGCAGUGCAGUCUGAAAGUAAGUGGAAGAAGAGGGCACAAACAAUGGCAUGGUGAUGGAUGGCUCGGAUGAAGGAGGGGGUAUGGCAGCUGAAUAUCCCCCUACUAUGGAAGGCUCUGACCUGGCAACUACUACCCUUGGCUCUUCAGACUGGCCAGUGGAGAUAGCGGUUUUAGCCUUUUCUUUAGGGUUGUCCGGUCCUUUGGUGUUGUACCAGGAGAAGGGCUUCUUUUGUUUUGUCUUAGUGUCAUAGAUCUUCUUCUAACCUCCUUGGUCCUCGAAAUACAUGGUGAGGAAGUUGGGGUAGGGGUAGGAUCUUUCUUCCUUUCCAACCGCCUUUGUGAUGUGAUAGUACAUGAGGUUCCCCACAUUGAUAGGAUACCCCGCCAUGAUGGAGGCUAUCAAGACACACUGGUUAAGUGGGAGGACAUUGUCAUGCUGACACAGAUCUAGCCGGCUGCACACAAAGGUGGACCAACCCUUGGCUUCAAAGCUGAGGGUGUUUCCGAAUAUUGAGACUCCAACUAUGAGCCAUGUCGAUGUCGUCCCUAGGGCUAAUACCUCCGCCAACCAUGGACGGGCUGCUUCAUCAAGUGCCAGCUUCUCCAAGUACUGCACUGCUUCGACAUCUUCAAAACUAGCAUAUUCAUUCAACGUGUGGCCAUCAGACUAGAUCUUCAAAUUUUGGACCUUUGUCACAAUGGUGCCCUUUUUUAUGUGGGCAACGUUUGCAUAGAAUUCCUUGACAAGAUAUUCAUUGGCAUCCAGAACUUUGCUGGUGAAGAAAUUCCACCCUAUUCUCUCAUCAAACUGCCUUUUCACAUUUGGAUUAUGGGGAAAGAGGUCUCUCUCUGUGAAUUGUCUCCCAAGGAUGAGUGACCUUUGGGGCCACCAUUCUCGGAACUUCUGGUAAGCUAAUUCACUCACAAAUCUGUCAGCCCACAUCUCAGCUUUUUUGGAUCUAACAACCCUCCAAUAUUGGUGUCACCCCCUCUCCCGUCAUCCGGGACCUCAUUAUCAUCAUCCACAGCAAUAGGGGUAGCUGGUGAUGCUGAAGUUGUAGCAGGUGGGGAUAAUGGUGCCGAAGCCUCACUUCCCUCCUCUGAUCCAUCAGACGACUCAAAUGAGGAGGUAGGUUCAUCUCGUAACUGGAAUUUCCCCUUGAACUGUGUGGGGACAUGAGUGGUCACAUAGUCUCCUUCCGAAGUUUCCCGGGAAGGGACAUACUCACUAGUGUCAGAAUGGUCUGCGGCUCUAUCUGCAGCUUUGAUGGCAGCUCUUAUCUUGCCAAUUGAUUUUUGGACUGUUAGGCGUAACUUGGUCUUUCCUUUACCCCUUCCUUGGGAGGGUUCUGCCCUCCUUUUAGAUGUAUCACCUCCACCUCUGGAUCAUACCAUUGUCUGUAGCAAACAAGCAAUGAAAUACAGUUAGAGUAAAGCUUCAAGCAUAUGUUAAAACAAUGCAGUUGAAAUGCAGAAACUGCUUCUAAGAACCAAGUGCCGCAAAUCGCAAAAAAGUGAACGCGGCCGCGAAGUGCCCAUCGCGGACCGCAAAAAGGUAUCUGUGGCCGUAAAGAGGUUAGGUUCAUAAUACUAACUCUCUGAUCUUGGUUGAACACGGACCGUAAAAUAAUGAACGCAGCCGCGAAAGCUGUUAACAGAGACUCUGAAGCUGAAGAGCACGAACCACGAAAUUUGGGACGCGGCCAUGCAAAUUCAAACGCAGACUGCAAAAAAGUCAUCGUGUCCACGAACAUGCAUCCAUACUCAGUUCUCACAAGUUAGGGAACGCGGACCGCAUAAAAUGGACCAUCGAUCAUGAAGUUCAAACAAAAUAGGCAAUGAUGAAUAUUUGAAACCUAGGGUUUUCACUAAGCGCCUAAAAUCCGUUCAAUUAGCAAUCAAGGUUACUAACCCUAUCCCCCAUUAGGCAUGUAAACAUAACCCACAUAUGAUUAAGCAAUAAUUUUAGAUUAAGGGAUGUAUGUCACUCUAACUAAAAAUUGAAAAGAAAAAUUGAAAUAAAAAGAAAACAAAAGAAGCAGGUAAAAUUAAUUCAUGGAUUUGAACAUACCAUUUGUGAAUUUUUUUGCAGGAAAACAACGCUUGAUUCGAAAGAGAUGAAAUUGAAAGCCAGAGAAGAUGAACAAUGUUCCUUGUUCGGUGCAAUUUAAGGGUUUGAAAAGUGUAAAAGGUUUAGGAACCCCCUAUUUAUACUUAGCAGAUGUGGACCCGAUAGACUCAUCUGAACGCCGUUGCGAAAUUCUACCGCGGUUCGCGUUUCGUUAUCUGAUGAAGAAUAGUUUAAGCAACUGACCGCGGCCCACGAAAUUUUGAACGCGGCCGCGGAAUUCACCAUGGACCGCCAAACUAUAGAUGAAGUCGCGGAAGCUGAAGGGUAUUUGACAGUCCAACUUCAGAGAGUUGGCAUUUUUCUCUUUUCAAUUACGCAUCCGCGAGUAAAAAGAUGCGGCUGCAAAAUGCUCACGAGGACCGCGAAAUUGUGGUCGCAGUCCUCGAACUUCCAACACUUAGCCAAAAUUUUCCUUUGUCAAUUUGAUGUGCUGCACAACCAAUUCCUACAUACACUUCAUAACUAGUUAGUCCAUAACAAUGCCUAAUCUAAGAAGAAAAAAAUUAAAAGAAAGAAAAACACAUGGGUUGCCUCUCAAGAAGCGCCUGAUUUAACAUCGCGGCACGACGCAUGUUACCAUUAUUCACUUGAAAUGGAUCAAUGCCACGACGUGGCCAUCAUCAACCUUACCAAGGUAGUUCUUCACUUGGUGCCCAUUGACUCUAAAGAUCUCACCAUUCUUGUUUUUCAAAUCUAGAGCACCAAAAGGAGUCACAUGCACCACUUCAAAGGGCCUGCUCCAUUUUGACUUUAGCUUUUCCAAAAACAUACGUAACCGAGAGUUGAAUAAGAGAGCAAGGUCAGCUUCUUUGAAUUCUUUGUUGCGGAUAUAAUUAUCCUGUAGGUACUUCAUCUUGUCCUUAUACAAUGACGAACUGUAGUAAGCAUGAAACCGGAACUCAUCAAGCUUAUUCAAUUGCUCCACCUUAAGAUUUGCAGCUACAUCCCAUUCUAGGUUCAACUUCUUCAACGCCCACAUGGCUUUAUGCUAUAAUUCCACUGGGAGGUGACAUGCUUUACCAAAUACCAAUUGAUACGGAGACAUACCAAUUGGAGUCUUGUACGUUGUUCUAUAGGCCUAUAAAGCAUCGUCAAGUUUCCUUGACCAAUCAGUCUGGUUUGCAUUGACAGUCUUGAAAAGAAUACUCUUGAUCUCCCUAUUGGAGCCCUCAACCUGUCCACUUGCCUGGGGGUGCUAGUGAGUUAAUACCUUGUGAGUGACACCAUACUUGGAGAGUAAAGUGUCAAAGGCUUUGUUACAAAAAUGAGAAACCCUGUCACUGAUAAUGGCUCUUGGGGUGCCGAACCUUGUGAAUAUAUUUUUCUUUAAGAAAGCCACCACGCUUCGUGCUUCAUUGUUGGGAAAAGUCACAGCUUCAACCCACUUGGGGACGUAAUCCACAUCAACAAAAAUAUAGGUGUUCCAAUAUUAACUCACGAAUGGACCCAUAAAGUCGAUACCCCACAUAUCGAAAAUGUUGAUCUUAAGGAUGGUAGUGAGAGGAAUCUCAUUCUUCUUAGAAAUCCCACCGGCUCUUUGGCACUCAUCACAAUGCUUGACAAGCUCGCUAGCAUCUUUGUACAAGGUAGGCAUAUAGUAUCCACAGCUUAGGACCUUUGUAGUAGUUCUCGCCCCACCAUGGUGACCACUAUAAUGCGAAGAAUGACAAGCUUCAAUAAUACCCAAUUGCUCUUCUUCUAGAACACAUCUCUGGAUAACACCAUCGGUGCAAAUUUUGAAAAUAUAUGGCUCGUCCCAAUAAUAAUCCAAGCACUCCCGUUUGAGAUUCUUCCUUUGGUUUGAAGAGAACUCAUUUAGGACAAUUCCGCUCACAAGAUAUUUAGCUACAUCGGCAAACCAAGGCAUCUCGGUCAAAGUCAUGGAAAUGAGUUGUUCAUCCAGAAAUGAAUCAUUGAUCUCCAGGUUGUCAUGGGUCCUCCCCUCCUCUUCCAAACGGGACAAGUGGUCCGCCACUUGAUUCUCACUCCCCUUUUGGUAAAUGAUUUCAAGAUCAAACUCUUGUAGAAGAAGUACCCACCACCUAAUCAAUCUAGCCUUUGAGUCCUUCUUACUCAUCAAAUAGCGAAGCGCUGCGUGAUCGGUGUGAACAAUCACUUUGGUACCCAUGAGGUACGGGCGGAACUUUUACAUAGCAAAGAAAAUGGAUAAGAGUUUUUCUCGGUCACCGUAUAGUUGACUUGGGUGUCGUUCAUGGUCUUACUAGCAUAGUAGAUCAGAUGGAAUAUCUUGUUGAGUUUUUGCCCCAAUAUCGCUACUACCGCCACAUCGCUAGCAUCACACAUGAGCUCAAAUGGUAAACUCCAAUUUGGUGCGGUAAUGAUGGGAGUGGUAGUCAACCUAUACUUGAGUAGCUCAAACGAUUUCAUGAAAUCAUCAUUGAAUACAAAUUUUUCAUCUUUUUCCAACAACUUGCACAAGGGGUUCACCACCUUAGAGAAAUCCUUGAUGAACCGACGGUAAAACCCCGCAUGCCCUAAAAAGCUCCUCACUCCUUUGACGGAAGUAGGUGGAGGGAGUUUUGAUCUUACUUCAAUUUUUGCUUUAUCCACUUCAAUACCAUUAUUGGAGAUCUUAUGUCCAAGGACAAUGCCCUCCUCAACCAUAAAGUGACAUUUCUCCCAAUUAUAGACCAAGAUAGUCUCUUCACAGCGUGCUAAGUCUUUAUCAAGAUUACCCAAAAACUCAUCAAAAGAAUCCCCCACAAUAGAAAAAUCAUCUAUGAACACCUCGAGGAUGUCCUCCACCAUAUCCGUGAAUAUUUCCAUCAUACACCGUUGAAAAGUAGCCGGUGUAUUACAUAGACCAAAUGGCAUCCUUGAGAUUGCAAAUGUGCCAUACGGGUAAGUGAAGGGUGUCUUCUCUUGGUCUUCAGGUGCAAUAAGAAUCUGGUUAUAUCUGGAGAACCCAUCCAAGAAGUAAUAAAAAUCACGUCCGGCUAACCUAUCCAACAUUUGAUCAAGGAAUGGAAGUGGGAAAUCGUCUUUCCGAGUCACUUUGUUGAGCUUCCUAUAAUCCAUGGAUACCCUCCAACCGGUGAUAGCUCUUGUGGGGAUCAACUCAUUGUUGUUAUUUGUAAUCACAGUCAUGCAGCCCUUCUUUGGGACACAUUGUAUCGACAAAGUCCAUGAACUAUCCUAAAUGGGGUAGACAACCCCAGCAUCCAACCACUUGAUCACCUCUUUCUUGACAACCUCUUGAAUGGCCUCAUUCAACCUUCUCUGAUGUUCCACGGAGAGUUUGGCAUACUCCUCCAAUAUGAUGUUGUGCAUGAAAAAGGCAGGGCUUAUACCCCGAAUGUCCGCCAAUGUCCAACCUAUUUCCUUCUUCCUCCUUUAGAGCACUGCAAGGGUGCCAUCUACUUGCACGUUAGUUAAGAACAAGGAACGAAUAACAGGUAAAGUGGAACAAGGGCCUAAGAACUCAUACCUGAGUUGUGAAGGCAAAGGCUUCAACUCCAAUGUGCGAGGUUCCUCGAUUGAGGCUUUGUUGGUAGAGUCUUCUGGUUCUCAAGUUCCAAGGAAAGUUUCCGGGGCUCAUAUGUAUAUGAACCCAUUACUUGUAAAGCAUUGACAUAUUCAACCAAGUCUUCCUUCUCUUCCACAUCAUGAUUCACAACACAGCUUCCAAUGGGUCUUCCACAUUAAUCACGGCACUUGUGUCUUCAAUAAUCACUUCGAUCGCUAGAUCCACAAACGAACAUACUUCGUUGCUAUUACAUUGCCUCAUUGACUUGCAAACAUGGAACACAACUUUUUCAUCGCCCACCCGGAAGGUGAGCUCUCCUACUUCCACAUCAACUAAGGCCUUCCUUAUAGCUAGGAAAGGUCUCCCCAAUAUGAUCGGCACCCAUAGUCAACCUCACAGUCAAGUAUCACAAAAUUCGCGAGAAGUAUGAACUUGUCGACCCGAACUAGCACAUCAUCAAUGAUCCCCAAUGGCCUCUUCAUUGUCCUAUCUGCCAUUUGCAACCUCAUGGAUAUGGGCCUUGGCUACCCAAUACCCAAUGGUUUGAACACAUAAUAUGGCAUCAAGUUAAUGCUUGCCCCCAUGUCGCACAAAGCUUUUGCGAAAUCGGCACUACCAAUAGUGCAUGGGUUUGUAAAGGCACUGAGGUCUUCUAGCUUUGGAGCCAUGAAAUGCACAAUAGCACUCACUUGGUGUGUCAUUUUGAUUGUUUCAUAGUUCAUUGAUCUCUUCUAUCACGCCCCGCAAUAUUACGUCGAUAUUACAUCCAACAGUAUUAUAUUAUGAUAAUGUUAUAUCCUGCAGUAUUAUAUUACGAUGAUGUUACAUCCGGAAGUAUUAUAUUACGAUGAUGUUACGCCUUGCAUUAUUACAUUACGAUGAUGUUAUUCUUCGCAGUAUUAAGUUACGACGAUGUUGCACCCUGCAGUAUUGCACAUUGAAUUUAUCGUAAGAUAAUUGACAUUAGUUCAAGGGCAAGAUUAUUUGGAGAUUACAAGCAUUAUGCUAUUCUAAGCAAGUGAUGAGUAAAUUCGUGAAGGUGAGUGGGGAAGCAAGUCAAAAAAAUGAAUUUUCGUCCAAGUUUGACAUGUUGGGGUAAAAUACGGCCCGAGCUAAAAGAUCCGGUAUUUAUAGACUAGUACCAUACAAGGUACCACAUGGCCAUGAUAAUAAGGUGUAUAAGGUAUGUUAAAAGUGAGUAGUAUUUUAGGUAAUUUGAGAUAAUUCUUAAUUAUAUGGGUAAUUGGUUAAUUAUUGAAUUAGUGGGAAAUUACCAAGUUAAUUAAGGAAUUGGUAAUUAAUUAAGAUGUGAUGGAUAAGCCUUAAGGGCACCCAACGUGGCAGCAAGUUUGGCCAAAUUGGUGACUCUUAAAGUCACAAGAAAGGUGGCAAAUUUUGGAGGAACUCUUAGGCUAAGUCAUCACCUAGUUAUCUUUUCUUUAAUUAGAAUUUUUUUUUGGAUUCCAUAAACAAAGAUUUAUACUACAUAUAACCAAAUCAUGUUUUCAUUGGCAUCACACAACUCCAACACUUCAGCCACCUCUAGGUAAUAUAGUUCAAUUUUAAGCUUUUCUUGCAUAUUGAAUCUUCAUCACAAAUAUAACGUUCAACUUCAACAAAGCCAUAAAAGGCUUUCCAAAUUCACAAAGUGAAAUUUCAACCACAAAUCUAAAGACCUCUUCCUACAUAAUUUUUGUGGAGGUGUAUGUGCUGAGUAACAAAGGAAUUCUCAAAUGGAUUCAUAUGAAAUCUCGUAACACUACAACAGUGUGAGACACAAUUCUAAGAUAGCACGGUACAAUCUUUCUCAAGAAUAUUAUACGAAUUUUUCCCUACUCCAAGUAUGUUAAGGCUAUCACGUCUUUCUUUUGGCAUGAUCCUUACGAUGCAAAUGAAACGAGCAAAUACACAACUUUAAUAAAUUACUCUAUUCGUAGAAAUGCUAAAGAUGUGUAUAUUCUUAUUCUCCCAAGUGUCAUAUUAUUCUAUCAUCUGUUCACGGGUCUCAGAAAAAUAAGUAAGUUGAAAAAAAAAUGGUUUACUUCAUGAUAUUAUUCAAAGGCAUAAUGGUCUUAUGACAUUCCAAGAGAUUUUAUUGACGUACUUUUCAUGCAUUGCAUUCACGUACAUUGACCCAUGACCAGAUUGCGUUAUAUAUGCGUAUAUAUGUAUGUAUACAUAUGUAUAUGGGAUAUGAGAAAGGUUAUGGCAUUAUAUACGCACCACCACCAGAUCAGCUGGUAUACAUUGAUAAUUUUGCCCACAGUAGCUGAGAUGAUAUGAUGGGAUUCCCUCAAAGGCUUGAUGAUAUUAUGAAACAUGUACCUAUACACGACAUGACAUUCAUACGCAUAUGCAUGACACUAUAAGUAUUUCAUGAUUGACAGAGUUAUCCAAACUUACAGGUUGAAUCAUUUAUUCUAUAUUUCUUCCAUGUCUAUUAUGUACUUAUUUAAGUGCCUUACAUACUCGGUACAUUAUUCGUACUGACUUCCCUUUUACCUGGGGAUGCUGCAUUUCAUGCCCGCAGGUCCCAAUAGACAGGUUGAGAGCCCUCUAAGUAGCUAUCAGCUUAGUGGAAGGUGUUGGUGCGGUCUAUUUGCUUCGGAGUUGCUUGUUGGGUUAGUAUGAUUUAGACGUAUAUUGUUUGGUAUGGUGGGACUUUGUCCCGACCUUUAUGAAAAUUUUGUAUUCUUAGAGGCUUGUAGACAGAUGAUAUGUACGUAAAAGAUUGUAUGGCCUUGUCGGCCUAUGUUCAGUACAUGAGUGGUUAUUUUGGUCUUAUAGGCCCGUACUUCAUAUGUAUAAGUUUGUAUUCCCUCAUGCUUUACUCUGGUUCAGUUAUCUAUGAUAGUAUGACAUGAAAAUAUACUUUAUGUUGGUACUCGGUUGAGUAAGGUACCGGGUGCCUGUCGCGGCCCAUCGGUUUGGGUCGUGACAUCUUCUUUGUCACCAAGUCCUUCAUGAACUUGGCAUAUCCUGGCAUUUGUUCUAGAGCUUCAGCCAAAGGCACAUUUAUGGACAAACUUUUCAUCAUAUAAAUAAAUUUCUUGAAUUAGUUCUUAUUGUUUUGUUUUGCAAGCCUUUGAGGAUAAGGUGGAGGAGGCCUUGGAUUUGGGCACUACUAUUUCCGGCAUGUCUAUCACGUGUUUCCUAGACGGGUUCACAUCAUUUUGUAUCUCCUCCACAUUGUCAUCAAUGUCUAUCCUCACCUCUCUAUUCACAUUCUCAUCACUCAGUUGCUCAUCAUUGCUUGGCUCAUCAUCAUCUUGCACCAACACAUCAUCACUCACAACCUUUCUUGGAUAAGUGGUUCUAGCAACUCCACCUCUACCACUUCUUGUAGUCACCGCCAUAGCAUGACCUGUAUUGUUUCCACCUUCCGGGUUUACCACUGUGUCACUAGGAAGUUCCCCCUUAGGGCGAGUAUUCAAAGCUUGAGAGAUUUGGCCAUGUUGGACCUCCAAGUUGCAGAUAGAAGUAUUGUGGGAUGCCAAUUGGGCCUCGAAGUCGGCGUUUUUCUUCAUCAUUUGCUCAAACAUUGUCUCAAUUCGUCUCAUCCCAUUGUUGGACGAGCUAGGACAUUGUGAUGGAUAUGGAGGCAGGUUGUUAGGUUGUUAUACAUCAGAGGCCUUUGAAAGUCCGGCCCCCAAUUCCCUAGAUUAUUGUUGUUCCAACCCCCUUGGUUGUUAUUGCCUCUCCAAUUGCUAUUGGUAUUUCCACCCCAUUUCCUUGGUUUCCUUAGUUACCCCACUUUGGAUUGUUGUUCCCCACAUUGGCUUGGUUGUUGUUGUUGCCACUAUUCUAAUUUCCUUGUUGACUUUGAUUUCCCCAAUUUCCUUGGGAUCUCCGCUGUUGUUGAAUCGGAGCAUUGCCCUGUGGACCUUGGUAGUUUUUCACAUAUUGAACCUCUUCACUUUGAUCAUCAUACACAUUAUCUUGAUUGUAACCACUAGCACUUUUAUAAAAUUGAUCCGGAUUGUCUUGCACUUGUUGACCUCAUUGCAUCCGCUUAUUGACCAUCAUAUUCACCCCUUGCAUGACAUUCACUUGUUUUGGCCCUUGAACUUGUUGCAACUGCGCUUUGGCCAACUGGUUCAUGGUCGUAGUUAACUAGGCUAUUGCUUGGCCGUGGUCAUGGAGCUCUUUAUGAAGGUGAAUUGCAUUGGAAUCACCUUGUGGCACAUUAGCGCGACUUUUCCAUGCCGAGGAAGUAUCCGCCAUCUCAUCAAGUAUUUCACACACCUCAGCAUAAGGCGUGUUCAUGAAGCUUCCCCUGGUGAGUUGGUUAACUACACACUGGUUGGUAGUGUUGAUGCCACGGUAGAAUGUUUGUUGGAUCAUGGAUUCGGUCAUAUCAUUGUUCGGACAUUCUUUAACCAUCGUCCGAUACCUUUUCUAAAUCUCAUAAAGCGGUUCAUUUGGAUCUUGUUUGAAAUCGAGUAUCUCAUCUCUUAUCAUCGCUAUAUGUCCCAGUGAGAAGAAAUUUGCUAUGAAUUUCUCAGCCAACUCAUCCCAAGUGGUGAUGGAAUGGUUGGGCAACCUUUCAAGUCAAUCCAAAGCCUUCCCCUUAGAGAAAAUGGGAAAAGUCUUAACCUCAACACGUCCUUAGAAACAUUAGUUUGCUUUCUCCCCGAGCAUGUAUCGACAAAACCUUUGAGAUGCUUGUAAGUGUUUUGGUGUGGAGCUCCAAUGAAGAAACCCCUCUGUUCCAAGUGUGUAAGCAUGACAUUGGUUAUUUGAAACCUUCCCACCCUAAUCGGGGGCGGGACUAUUGCGCUUGCAUAGCUUUCAUUUAGCAACACCCGGUGUGCUGCCCUUGCUGGAGGUGGGGGAGGCUUUGGAAUAUUAUAAUGAGGCGGUCGGCCUCUCCUUUGUACUUGAGGUUCGGGUUGAAUCUCAUCCACAUUAUCAUCAUCUACCUCCUCCCCCAAUGGCAAAUAUCUGAGGGCAUCAUUGUUAAGAGCCAUUUGAUACCUAAAAGCAAUUCACAAACAAAUUAGAAAAACUAAAGGAAAGAAAAAUAAAACACACAAAUACUCGGAGAUAUAGCUAAAACCAUUUAACUCCCUGGCAACAACGCCAAAAAUUGAUCGGGUCCAAGCCUGCACUAUUAUUGAGUAGCGAGGAUGGUUGAUACAGUGUUACCCAACAAGGUCGGGAUUGAAUCCACAUGGAGUUAAUUUAUUUGGAGUUAGGUUUAUAUCCAAGUAGAGAUGCGGGUUUUGCUCUUAAUUUCACUUCCACAAAAGGUUGGUUUGAUUUCUACUUCUACUUCUAUUCUAUAACAUGCAGUAUUUGAAUCUAAGUACAAUGUUUUUGUUGGUUGUUUUCAAAGAUUUAAAGGGACUAGGGUAGUGACUUCCACCUAGGUGGAUAUGUAACGAGUAGCAAGAAUCUAGGGCUAUCAUGUGAUUAAUUGGGGUCGUAAUAUAGCUAUGACACUCGGGUACUCACUCUAUACCUCUUAGUACUUUGAGUGAUUUUGCCAAAUUUGGCUUUCUCAAGUCCAAAUGGGUAUUCAUGCAAUUCAAGUGAUUUUAGCUCAAGUCGGAUGUUACUAUCUUUGGGUUUAACCCUUUAAUUGGGGCUAUCAAUUUCUUGAGUUCACCCCAAUUCCUUAUUAGCCUAGUUUCCUAGAUUGUCCAUCUUUCUCAAGUAGAGACUAAGUUAUAAAGGCAUAAAUCAGUAUUUGCAACCACUAAUUCAAUAGCUCUAGCAAGAACUAGGCUAAAAAUCACUAACACAUAUACAUUCAAGCCUUAAAAUUCAAGACCCAUCAAAUACCCACACUANNNNNNNNNNNNNNNNNNNNNNNNNGAUGAAAAUCUAAUGUUGUAAGGUAAAUCUUGUACAAAAUUGCCCAAAUAGGAAAAGCUAGCUGUCUCACGUGCUCAGAAAAACAUAACAUAACCUAAAAAUGUGAAAAUGAUCUAUUUAUACUAGGCUGAACUUUCUGGACAAAAAUGCCCAUGCAGAGGUUUCGCGGUCGCGUAAUUCUGACCGCGGCCGCACUCUUGCUUUCACUACCACGUAAUAUUAAAUGUGGUCCGCGUUUCUUUACAUCUGAGACUGGGAUGGAACAUGUUUCGCGGGCCGCAUAACACCGCGUCAGCGUGAGAAACUUCCGCGGCCACGUAAUUUUAAUGUGGUCCGCUCUUAACAUUUUUCACUAUUUAGUAAGCUCUCUGAACCUUAGCAAAUGCGGUCCGCAAAAUUCCAAUCACGGCUGCUAUGGUAUUUUCGCGGCCGCCAAUUUUUGACACGGUCCGCAUCCAUGUUUGUGCCCAAAAACCACCUCUCUGAUUCUCCCAUUUGCGGUCCACGAAUUAAUGACCGCGUUCCCGUUGACACUUUCGCGACCGCACUUUUCUAUCGUGGUCCGCGUUCCAUAGCUCUUGGCCCAGUCUUGGUCUUUGUUCAAGUUUUGACUCCUUUAUUUGUUGAUCAUGGCUACUUUGGCUCAUUAUGAACAAUCCCUGCAAACAAGCAUAUUACAUUAGUUUUCGGGAAUACCUUCACGCAUUUUAGGCCCAAAACGCAAGUGAGAAAGAUCAAAUAAUAGGUUAAAAUCCCUGCUUAUCAAGGCUAUAUGGGAGUAUGAUAUAUGGAGUAGUUAUCCCCACCUUUUUACCAGUCCAGGUAAUUUUCUUGUCCGUUCGAGGACGAUCAUUUCUUUUAGAGGUAGAGAAUGUGACGACCCGAUGGUCGAUUUGAGCACUAGCCUUUAUUUCUGAGUUCCAAAACUUCAAUUAGCUUCAUUUGAUAUUUCUUGAUUUACGUGCAUGGUGCAUAUCAUUUUCCGGAAAGUUUUAAGUAAAAAUUUGAAGAAAAAGUAAUUUUAGGCUUAAAAUGAAACUUGAGUUGACCACAGUCAACAUUCUUGGUAAACAACAUCGGAUCGGUGUUUUGAUAAUUCUGGUAGGUUCGUCUAAUACUUUUGAACUUGUAUGAACUUUUGGCUAGGGUUUGGAGUGAUCCGAGCGUAUUUCGUUGCAUAAUGUGAAAAAUUGUGACAAUAAGUUUUCAAUUUGAAAAUCAUAAGUUUUAAUGAUCGAUUCUUGUUAUUGAUGUUAUUUUGAUGAUUUGAGGUAGCGAGCAAGUUUAUAUGAUAUUAUUACACUUAUGUGCAUGUUUGAUUUGGAGCCCGAGGGGCUCUAGUGAUUUUUCGAUGUGCAGCGGAAACGUUUUGUUGAAUUUUGAAUUGCUGGUGCACAACUGCUGGUGUCUCAGGUCUGCAGAUCUUGCAUUCGCGAGAUCUGGGUCGUAUUUGCGAGCCCGCUUUUCUGGUCCAAUGAUCGUAUUUGUGAUAAGGAGUUGGUGGGUUAGUUCUUCGCAAUUGUAAAUAUUUAAUUGCAUUUGCGGACUUUGGGAAUUCGCAUUUGCGACCUUUGUGUCCCUUUUGCGAUUGGAACUGAGAACGGGCAUCUUCACAAAUGUGGAAGUUUGCUCUUAUUUGCGGUCAGUAGGCAUAUCGCAUUUGCGAGAAUUUUGUCGCAUUUUUGACAUUGGGUGGACUGAUGCACUGAUCGUAUUUGCGAUCCGUGUGUCACGUUUGUGGUGUUCGCAAUUGCGAAGAAGAGUUCGCACUUGCUCUUGUUCGCAACUGUGACACCUGCAGCUGGGUAAAAAGGGGGAAAACGGGGCUUAGCUCUUUUUACACUAUUUCUCAACCUUAAACACUCUAAAGGUGAUUUUUGAAGAACUUUUUCUCCCAAAUUCAUUGGUAAGCAACUCUAAUCCACUUUCUUUCAAUUUCCCAUUACUUUUCAUCAGAUUUUAACAUCAAAUCUAGUAUUUUCAAGGUAGAAAUUAGGGAUUUGGGUAGAAUUUAGGGAUUUUGAAAAAUUGAGAUUUAGAUCUCAAAUUGAGGUCGGAUUUUGAAACAAAUCACAUAAACAGGCUCAUCCGGAUCUCGAAUUUUGGCCAAACAAGCUCGGGGUUGACUUUUAUUGACUUUUUUAAACUCAUCAAAGAUCGAACCUUUUUCAUUCACGGGUAGUUUCUAAAGCUUAUUUUGAAUUGUUUGAUCGAUAAUUGGCUAGAUUCGGUUGGUUUGGAGGCUUGUUCGAAAGAUAAGGUUCUGGUUGGUUGAUUGAUUUGGUUGCAGAGUGAGGUAAGUGUUGUGUCUAACUUUGACUUGAGGGAAUUAGAACAACUUGGUCUAUUUGUUAUGUGAAUUAUAUGGAGAAAUGGCGUAUAUGCGAGGUGACGAGUGUAUAUGCGUCGUUGUGGGCUUAAAGCAUGCGGGGUUGGGCUAUUUACCAUGUCAUCUCUUGUUACAUGCCUUAGUUGCUACAUGUUCUUACUUGUUAUCCCUGCUUUACUAGUUAACUGUUAUUUUGUUGUUACUUGUAUCGAUUAGUUCAUUUUUCACUCAAUAUUUGCUUAUCUGCUACAUACUUCUAGUUGCAUUAAUUGUAUAUUUUCGUUGUCUCAUAUUUUACUUGCUUCUACUGUUCUUAUAUUACUUGAAGCACUUUAUUAUGUCAUCCCAUUUAUGUGAGUCAAUAGCUAUUUCGGUAUUAAUGUUUUGCCAAGGUUUGGGAUUACGAAGUAUUGGCUACUGUCCAUUUGUGCUGAUAGGUCCUUAUUGUUACGUUUCAUUUCUCUUUUGUGUUAAUAUUUCGUGAAUAUUGGUGUUGAAUUCUUUAUGUUAAUAUAUUGGUAUUGGGGAUCCGGUUGCGCACCACAACUGUAUUGAAAUAAAUUGAUAUUGGGGGAUUAGGUUGCACGCCGCAACAUAAAAUGAUAUGAUAUGAUAUAUGAAGUAAGUUGUACAUUGUAAAAGAUAUUGUGUUAAAACUUGGGAUCUGGUUGCACGCCGCAAUAGAUUUAAUGUGUUGUAGUUGUUUGUGGAUGUAGAAUUUAUAAUCAGUAAUGUAAAAUGAGAUUUGAGAUUGUGUUAUUCUGGGGCCUUCUAGUGGUUGACCUUCGGGUCUGUUUAUAUGUGUUUUAUCUAUAUUUUCGUAUUCCAUUAUUAUUAUUCGUACAGGUUUACUGUGAAUGUCUUGUCAUAGCCUCAUCACUACUUCUUCAAGGUAAGGGCACUUACAGAGUAUAUGGUAUUGAUUGUACUCAUUGUAUAAUUCUACACUUUUUGUGCAGAUACCAGUGUUGGUACCAGUGGCGUGCAGAGGAGCUCUUGCCAGGAUCGACUUAUAGCAAGAGACUUGAAGUAGAGCUGUUGGCGUUCACAAUCCCUGAAGUCCCCUUCUAUUAUGUCUUUAUUGUUUACCUUAUUUCAAAGAGUUGUAUUUUUUCAGACAUUAUUUUCAGAACUCUAGUAUGAUGAUGUAUUUGUGACUCCAAAUUUCUGGGAUAUGUUUAGACUGUGCUACGUUAUAUUUAUCACAUCUAAUUCAGUUCAUUUUAGUUUCGUAGCAUUAAGGUUUUGCUUUAAAAAUUGUUUUAAAUGGUUAAAUAAUUUGCUAGCAUUGACUUGCCUAGCAAGCGGAUGUUAGGCGCCAACACGACCCCACUAUUGAAAUUUCGGGUCGUGACAAAUUGAUCCUUGGAAUGAAUCGUAGAAUGAUUCUUUCUAAGAAUAAGUGUGGAGCUUCCAUUGAUUUAUUUUGACUGGUGAUCUCGAUAGAACUUUCCAUUGGUGAGCAAAUCCUUCUUUCAUUCGAGAAGCCUAAAAUAGAUCCUUUUAUUUCGGGAGUCAACAUCUUUCCUUUAAUAAACGAAUCUUCAAUGCGUUGAUAAAUAUAUAGAGUGGAUUAUAAGCAAUCUUGAUCUCCUGUGAUUGUGGUCCUUCCUUUAUUAUCUUUCUUCGUACGGACUGUCAGAUCUUAGAAGAUCUUUCUCUUCUUUUUUUCGUUGCUCCUUCCUUUCUUGUCUUUCUUCGUAGAUAUUUGACAAUCUUGCUUUCCUUUUUUAUUUCCUUCCUUUACUCCUGGAGUGUUCCUGCAAGCAAAGAUAUGUUAUUUUUCAUCAUUAAAACUUGGAUCUAACGGACUGAAACCUAAAAAGGUCGAAAUUUAUCCCUCAUUAUAGUUACAAAUUACAAUUCUACCAAAUGUUCUCACGAGCUCCCUUUUCUUCUGUACUGUUCACGAGCCUAGGUCCAUCCCAAACAAAAAAACAGAAAAGAAAUUUUGAAGUUGGGUAAAGCGUUUUUUUAUCAGAUAAAAGUUCAUAUUUGUAUAUCUUACUAAAAUAGUUAAUAGGUUAAACAAAUAGGACGAAAGGAGGAUAGUAAAUAGUUCAAAAUUCUCAAAUUUCCAUCAGAAUAGGAUAUACAUUCACAAAUUAUACCUAUAGCUCCCGUAAAACAAUCCAAUUAAUUCUACAUGUAGUUCAUUUUUAUCAUACAAUAAUUAAUUCUGAGAUAUAGUAGAAUAAGCUCUUAACAAUAACAUUUAGAUAAGAAAGUGGUCAAAGGACAAUCUCAUUGAAUCUCGUUGUAGGCUUUUAAAUACAUAAACUACAACCAACUAAAGCUACAGUGUAUGCAACUAUCUACUAAAGAAGCUCACACAUAGUAGAACUAAUAACUACUUCUAGAUAUGCUCCAAAACAUUAGAAGACUUAUUCAAACUAUAAUAAACCAGUAAAUGAAUUAGUGAAAAUGUACGGAACAUAUAAGUUCGUAUAAAUAUACAGGACAUAAUAUAGUUAAUACACCCCUCAAACUAGGCAUGGUGCAAGAAUGCCUUACUUGGAAUGACACCUCGUAAAUGUUGAUUUAGGUAGUGGCUUGGUGAAGGUAUUAGCAAGUUGAUCACAAGCAUGAAUAUACAUAUAAGUUCGUAACAUGAACUUGAUGAGCUUGAACCUGGUCACAAACAUAUGCAAAAUCUACAUCAACAUAUUUCAUACGGGUAUGAAACACUGGGUUGUGAGAUAAAUAAAUAACUAUAACAUUGUCACAAUAGAUUGUUGGCGCCUUCGAAAUGGUGACAUGUAAGUCAUGCAGUAAGUUUCGCACCCAAGUGAUCUCCGAAAAUUCAUUGGCCAUUUAUUUGUACUUCUCCUCGGUGGAUGAGCGAGCACAAUAUGUUGCUUUCUUAAUGACCAACUAACUGGAUUUGAUCCAAAGAAAAGGAUGUAACCUGAUGUAGAGAUUCUGCCAUUCAGAUCACUUGCGCUAUCCGCAUCAGCAUACAAAUUGGAGUCAGAGUUGCGAAGGAUGCGAAGUCCUGAACUCGUUGUUUCUUUGAGAUACUGUAGUACUAUUUAACCGCUUCCCAAUAAUCAUCAGUUGGUGGAUGCAUAAAUUGCGACAAUUUAUUGACUGCAUAAGAGAUGCCAGGCUGAGUGAUGGACAAAUACUGCAACUUUCCAAGGGUACCGGUAACGUGUGGCAUCGGCAGGUGGGGGAACCAUUACCUACUAGAAGUGGUAUGCUGGAACACGUGGGUGUAGAAACACCUUUACAAUUGUCCAUAUCAGUUCGGAAAGAAUGUCCAAAAUGUAUUUUGAUUGAGAAAGGAUGAGACUCUCUGAUACUUGCAUAACUUUUAACACCUAAGAAGUAGUUUAGAUAACCAAGAUCCUACAAUGAAAAUCUUUCUACCAAGAAAUUGAUGACAAAUUUAAGCACUUGUGGUUGGUUUCCACUGAUUAUGAUGUCGUCGACAUAGACAAGAACAUAAAUAGUUAUAGCCAAAUGCUUCCAUACAAAUAAAGAGGUGUCGGAUUCUAUUUUAACAAAACGCAUUUUCAACAGAUGUUCACGCAGAGCAUUAUAUCAAGCCGGGGGAGGGGGGGGGGUUGUUUGAGGCCAUAAAUAGCCUUCUUCAGUUCGCAAACACGAGUUGGAAAUUGCGGAUUAAUAAAACCUCGGGAAUGAGACAUAAAAACUUCUUUAUCCAUUUUUACUUAUAGAAAAACAUUAUUGACAAGAAGUUCAUGGAUUAGCCAAUUGUGUUGCAUAGCUAGAGAUAGCACUAACCUGACCGUUGUUGGUUUAACAACAGAACAGAAUGUCUCAUGAAAGUCUAAGACAACGCGUUGCAUGGACCAUUAAGCAACUAGAUGAGCUUUGAAAUGGCCUAUUGAACUAUCUACUUUUCUCUUGUUCCAAUACAACCAUUUGUAGCCGACAACAUUUUUGGAUGGGUCUUGCGGUACCAGUUCCCAAGUCUGAUUUUUUAUCAAAGCAUCGUACUCUACUUUCAUUUCCUGCCUCCACUCCUGUAAUGAUCCGGCCGGUCAUUUUGAGAGGUGUAGUUAUGUUUUCCUAUUUACUACUCAUUCCCUUCUUAAUUAUUGUUAUGUGACUUGCCGGGUAGUUGGUUCGGGUCCGAAAAAGUUUUGGAAUGAGUUGAGACACUUAGUCUCAAGGAUUAAACACCAUAAGAAAUUUGAUUUUUAACGACCAUUAUUAACGAAGGGACAUAAAACCGAUCGUUAUAAGUGUAUUUAUAGCAACCAAAUUUUUUCCGGUCGUUUAAACUAAUUUUUCGCUCAAUAUUAACGAGGGGAUUAUAUUCAGUCGUUAAAAUAUAACACGUCCGGUCGUUAAUAAUUAUUAAUUAACGAAAAAGUGGUGCAAACUUUUCCCACUUUUUUUCCCAAUCCGCCAAAUCUCCCACCCCACCCCACCCCACCGCAAAAAAAAAGGAAAAAGCCGUAAGAGUUCGACUUAAACUUCUCUAAUAGUUGGUAAACUCUGUUUUGAACGAAUUAGCAGAGAAUUGUGCUACGACAAAUUCUAAUAAUCAGAGUUGGUAAAAUUCAGCGAAUUAACGAAAGAAGCUGCUCGUCACCUUCAUUGACAACAACUGCUCUUCUUUGAGGUUCUUCUCAUCACAGUAAGGUUCAAAAUUUUACCCUUUUCUAUGUGAAUUGAGUAAUAAUUUCGCUAGAAAAGGCAUCUGUUGAGCGAUGCCUGUUUUAAAUGAGCAAUUGCUAUAUCUCCUAUCACGAUUAAAUCAUCUUCUCUAACAGUUUAUUCUAAAGGUCAAUUUCGUACUAUCAGUUUCACUGAGUGCCAAGUAUAACUGUCGAAAUGUCGGUCGUCCUAAAAUUAAAGUUGAUAAUUUUUAGUUGUCGUAUAUAUAACUAUAGGGUUGUGAUGACACUUGUAUGUAUAUGGAUAUUGGUGUUCACUUUGGUGAAAGAAUGACACAAAAUACAAAAAAUGUUUCUAUCUAUAUAUUGACUGAUUCUACGAUGAGGUUUGCUGGUUAAUUGCUUAUUUCAAUCUGAUAUAUUAUUGAUUUUCAAUCAUCCCUUUUAUAUACGAUGUCCUGCUUGAAUGGAAUUUUUUUGUGAAACUUGAUUCUUGUUUUAAACUAUACAAAUUUUAUCAGAGGUAUGGGGUAUGAGAAUUGGCUAAAGUUAUUUGGUAGUAUGUCUCGGUUUUCAAUCUCAAUUGUUGUCACGACCCUAAAUCCGGACUCGGUCAUGAUGGCGCCUCUCGUGAAAAUAAGGCCAGCCGACACUUACCCAUUUCAGUUUUAAGCAAUUAACAAUGAGAAUUAAGUCUAAAACAUGGUAAAUAAUCCAACAUUUAAGUAGUCAACAGUACAAAUAUGCGGAAGAACAACCCAACACAGCCCGAUACAAAGGUGUCACUAGUCAUGAGCAUCUAAAAAUCCAAAAUAAUCAAGAAAAGUUUACAGACUUCAAUACAAAACUAAAACAAGGAGAAAUAAGAUAGGGAAGAAGCUCUGGGCUGCGAACGCCGACAGCUACCUAGAAAAUCUUCGGAUCCGCCUGAGCUGGAAGAUCAACACUCGGGAGCGGGACCAGAUGCGUCUGAAUCUGCACACGGGGUGUAGGGAGUAAAGUGAGUACUCUAACUUAGUGAGUAAUAAUCAUAAAUAAGGACUGAAAGCAGGAAAUCACGUAAGGCACAUUACAGGCUAUAAUGAAGCUGUAAAACCGGUAAAAAUAGUAAAUCAGUAAAGAUAUGUGAAAGUUAUUUUAGUUCAAAUUAAACAUCAUGAAAAGCCUUUUUCAACAAUUAAGCAGGUAAAUGACAUGCAAUUAAGGAAGAUAAACACAUAAAGGUUCGCUCCUCAGGCACAGUAUCAACAAAUCCGCCCCUCGAGCAAUAUCUCAGAACAAUACCAGCCCCUCGGGCUAUAUCUCACAUCACAAUGGGUACCCGCGCUCACUGGGGGUGUGCUGUCACUACCGGGAUUUCCCACCCUCGGGAGUCGUGCAAACUCCUGGAGGGGCCCCUUACGGCCCAAGCACAAUAUCAAGCCAUCUCGUGGCACCAUCACUAGGCUCUCGGCCUCAUAUCAACAAGCUACCUCGUGGCGUACAUAUCUCAGGCCCUCAGCCUCACAAACAUAAUCAGUGUUUCCUCACAAUAUAGGUCCUCAACCUUAUUCAGUCAAAAAUCCUCACAUGCCUCUCGGCAAUAGUAAAACAUGAUUCUCAGCCCAGUUAUCAUUUAAAAGAUCAUUUAAGUGUUAAAACAUAGUAAACAUGACUCAGUAUGGAAACUGUGGAAUAUAAUAUGACUAAGUUCAAGUAUAAAGUCAAAAUAGUGGGGAAAUAUCAAUAAAAAUCCCCGAAGGGUUCAAAUAGUUGGCAUGAGGCCCAAAUACGGUGUUCAGCCCAAAACAUGAUGAUAGCAAACAAAUUUCAGUCAAAUACGCGGUAAAAUAGUCAUACGGGACGAACUAAGUCACGAUCCCUAAUAGGGAACGACCCCACGCUAGUCAUCAAGCAUGUGCGCCACCUCAAUAUAGCACAACGAUGUGCAAAUCCGGGGUUUCAUACCCUCAGUACAUCAUUUACAAUCAUUACUCACCUCAAUCCGGUCAAAACUCUAGCCCGCGAUACCUUUGCCCCUCGAAUAGGCCUCCACUAGUGUCGAAUCUAUCCAAAAUCCGAAUCACAGCGUCAAAAUAUGCUAAGGGAACGAAGCCCAAGCUAAAAUAAUCAAUUUACCACAUUAAUCCCGAAAUUACCAAAACCUGACCCCCCGGGCCCAUAUAUCGGAAUUUGAUAAAAUUCACAUUAAUGGAUUUGUUAUCCCCCACGAGUUCAUACAUAUCAAAAGUACCAAAAUCCGACCACAAUAGGUCCCUCAAAUCCUCAAGUCUAGGUCUCCAAUACUAAGCCCUAAUUUCCCCAAUUUUAACCCUUAAAUUCCAUUAAUUAUAGCUCUAAUCCGUGAAAUAAUACCAUAGGGACGAGUUUUAGGUCCAAAAUCCUUACCUCAAUGAAGGUCCCUUGAAAUCUCUCUUCAAAGUCGUCCAAAAAGCUCAUAAGACAACUUAAAAAUGGUGAAAUAACUCAAAAAAAUCGCGAAGGAAACAAUUUAUACCUUCUGGCCCAGGGAUUUCGCAUCUGCGGCCACUUUACCGCUUCUGCGGUCAAGACCACCGCAUAUGCAGUCCUCACUUAAGUUUCCAUUUCCCGCAUCUGCGAUCCAAUAUCUGCACCUGCGCCAUCGCAGGUGUGGUCCUCCAAUCGCUUCUGUGGUUUCUGCCUCCCUAACUCUUUUCCGCUUCUGCGGCUCCCUUCCUAUAUCAAAAUCUCACAUGCCAACCGGAAAUCGCCAAAAUACCAACUUCGCCAAUUCAAGCCUAAAUCUACUCUGAACCUCCAAAACUCAUUUCGAUCACGCUCCUAUGUCCCAAAUCACCUCCCGAAGCUAUCUGAACCAUCGGAAUUCACAUUCAAGCCCUCUAACACUUAAGUCAACAUCCGGUUGACUUUUCCAACUUAAGCUUCCUCAAAAAGAGACUAAGUAUCUCAAACCUUACCAAAUCCUUUCCGUAACCGAUCCAACCAAUCCAAUCACAUAUAGAACUGAUAGACAAAGCAAUAAGAAGUAGGAAUGGGGGAAACGGAGCAGUAACUCAUGAGACGAGUGGCCGGGUUGUGACAUCCUCCCCAACUUAAACAAACGUUCAUCCUCGAAUGAGUCAAGAAACAUACCUGAAGCCUCAAACAGUUGAGGAUAUCUACUCCGCAUCUCCCACUCGGUCUCCCAGGUAGCCUCCUCCACGGGCCGACCUCUCCACUGCACUUUUACUGAAGCUAUAUCCUUUGACCUUAAUGUUCGAACCUGACGACCCAAAAUAGCUACUGGCUCCACAUCAUAGGUCAAAUCAUCAUCCAACUGAACCGUUCUGAAAUCCAAAACAUGAGGCGGAUCCCCAAUAUACUUCCGUAGUAUAGAAAUAUGAAAUAUCGGAUGCACACUCGACAAGCUGGGUGGCAAAGCAAGCUCAUAAGCCACCUCCCCAAUCCUCCGAAGCACCUCAAAAGGGCCAAUGAACCGAGGACUCAAUUUACCUUUCUUCCCAUAUCUCAUGAAACCCUUCAUAGGCGAAACCUUCAACAGAACCUUCUCACCAACCAUGUAGGACAUAUCCCGAACCUUCCUAUCAGCAUAACUCUUUUGUUUCGACUGCAUUGUACGAAGCCUUUCUUGAAUCACUUUCAAAUUUUCCAAAGCAUCCUGCACCAAGUCUGUCCCCAAUAGCCUAGCCUCACCGGGCUCGAACCAACCAACUGGAGAUCUACACCGCCUCCCAUACAAAGCCUCAUAUGGAGGCAUCUGAAUACUCGACUGGUAGUUGUUGUUAUAAGCAAACUCUGCAAGUGGUAGAAACUGAUCCCAUGGCCCGCUGAAAUAAAUGACAUAAGCACGCAACAUGUCCUGUAAUAUCUAAAUAGUGCACUCGGACUGCCCGUCCGUCUGAGGGUGAAAAGUUAUGCUCAACUCAACCUGAGUACCCAACUCUCGCUGCACAGACCUCCAAAACUGCGAUGUAAAGUGAGUGCCCCUAUCUGAGAUGAUGGAAAAUGUGACACCAUGCAAUCGAACAAUCUCCCGAAUAUAGAUCUCUGCCAACCUCUUGGAAGAAUAGUAGUACACACAGGAAUAAAGUGCGCGGACUUGGUCAGUCAAUCCACAAUUACCCAAAGAGCAUCGAACUUCUUCAAAGUCCGUGGAAGUCCAACUACAAAGUCUAUAGUGAUCCGCUACCACUUCCACUCUGGAAUAUCCAUCCGCUGAAGCAAGGCACCUGGUCUCUGAUGCUCAUACUUCACCUGCUGACAAUUGAGACACCGAGGUACAAACCCCACAAUGUCUUUCUUCAUUCUCCUCCACCAAUAAUGCUACCUCAAAUCCCGAUACAUCUUUGCGGCACCCAGAUGAAUGGAGUACCGCGAGCUAUGGGCCUCCUCCAGAAUCAACUCCCGAAGCCCAUCCACAUUGGGCACACAAAUCCGGCCCUGCAUCUUCAACACCCCAUCAUCACCAAUGGUCACAUCUCUAGCAUCAUCAUGCUGAACUCUGUCCUUAAUGACAAGCAAAUGCGGAUCAUCAUACUGGUGCUCUCUGAUGUGAUCAUAUAAGGAAGACCGAGAAACCACACAAGCCAAUACCCGACUGGGCUCCGAAAUAUCUAACCUCACGAACCGAUUGGCCAAGGCCUGAACAUCAACUGCAAGAGGUCUCUCCCCAACUAGAAUAUAUGCCAAACUCCCCAUACUCACUGCAUUUCAGCUCAAAGCAUCGACCACCACAUUGGACUUUUCGGAUGGUACAAUAUAGUGGUAUCAUAAUCCUUUAGCAACUCCAACCAUCUCCGCUGCCUCAAAUUAAGAUCCUUCUACUUGAACAAGUGCUGGAGACUAUGAUUAUCAGUAAACACCUCGCAAGACACGCCAUACAAGUAAUGCCUCCAAAUCUUCAACGCAUGAACUUUGGCAGCCAACUCCAAAUCAUGAACGGGGUAGUUCUUCUCAUGGGGAUUCAACUAACGAGAAGCAUAAGCAAUAACUCUACCCUCCUAUAUCAAUACACAACCAAUACCAACUCUCGAAGCAUCACAAUACACGGUAUAUGAACCUAAAGAUAAUGGAAAAACUAACACUGGAGUUGUGGUCAAAGUUGUCUUGAUCUUUUGAAAGCUCUCCUCACACUCAUCUGACUAUACAAAUGAAGCACCCUUCUGAGUCAAAUUGGUCAAGGGUGAUGCGAUAGAUGAGAAUCCCUGAACAAACUGGCGAUAAUAGCCUGCCAAACCAAAAAAGCUGUGAAUCUCUAUGGCUGAGGACGGUCUGGGCCAACUCUGAACCACCUCUAUCUUCUUCUGAUCAACCUAAAUACCCUCGCUGGACACCCUGUGUUCCAAGAAAGCCACUGAACUGAGCCAAAACUCACACUUGGAGAAUUUUGCAUAAAGCUUCUCCUCCCUCAAUCUCUACAACACAACUCUCAAAUGCUCCGCGUGCUCCUCCUAACUACGUGAAUACACCAGAAUAUCAUCAAUGAAGACUAUGACAAACGAGUAGAGAUAAGGCCGAAACAUGUUGUUCAUCAAAUGCAUGAACUCUGUUGUGGCAUUGGUCAGCCCAAAAGACAUCACUAAGAACUCAUAAUGACUAUAUCGGGUCUUGAAAGUCAUCUUAAAAAUAUCCGAGUCCUUGAUCUUCAACUUGUGAUAACCCGAACGGAGAUCAAUCUUGGAGAAUACUCUCGCUACCUAAAGUUGGUCGAAUAAAUCAUCAAUGCGAGGCAAAGGAUACUUGUUCUUAACUGUUACCUUUUUCAAUUGCCUAUAAUCAAUGCACAUCCUCAUAGUGCCAUCAUUCUUCUUCACGAAUAGAACCGGCACACCCCAAGGUAACACACUAGGCCGAAUGAACCCCUUUUCAAGGAGUUCCUAAAGCUGCUCCUUUAACUCCUUCAACUCCGCUGGUACCAUAUGAUACGGUGGAAUAGAAAUGGGUUGAGUUCCCGGCAUCAAAUCAAUACGAAAAUCAAUAUCUCUGUCUGAUGGCAUGCCCGACAGGUCUGCAGAAAACACAAUGGGAAAAUCCCUCACAACUGGAACAGAAUCAAUACUAGGAGUCUCAGCACCGACAUCCCUUACAAAGGCUAGAUACAAAAGACAACCCUUCCCAACCAUAUGCUGGGCCUUCAAGAAUGAGAUCAUUCUACUAGGAACGUAAUCAGUCACACCUCGCCACUCGAUCCGUGGCACACCCGGUAUAGCCAAUAUGAUUGUCUUAGCAUGACAGUCCAGAAUAGCAUGACACAGAGAUAGCCAAUCCAUGCCCAAAAUGACAUCGAAAUCCACCAUACACAAUAAUAAAAGAUCCACUCGGGUAUCUAGACCCCUAAUAGUCACCACACACGAUCGGUACACACGGUCUACAACAACAUUAUUGCCACCGGGGUAAAUAUAUGAACAGGUGAAGCAAGAAACUCAUGGGGCGUACCCAAAUAACGAGCAAAGUAUGAUGACACAUAAGAAAAGGUGGAGCCGUGAUCAAAUAAUACAGAGGCAUCUCUGUGGCAGACUGAGACAAUACCUAUAAUAACAGCAUCUAAAGCAAUAAAAUCGGGUCUAGAUGGAAGUGCAUAGAAACGGGCCUGACCGCCACCUGAUCGACCUCCCCCUUUGGGGCGACCCCUAGCUAACUGACCUCCACCCCUAGCUGGUUGGGCGAGUGGUGAUGAAGUAAUUGGCGCUAAAGCCGAUGACUGACCCCUCUACUGAGAUAAACCCGUAAGAUGACGAGGGCACUGCCUCCAUAUAGACCCAUCUCUCCACACUCAUAACAAUUCCUAGGUGCUGGAGAAGGGGACUGAAGGGAACCCCUCGCACCAGAGUUACUAGCAGAUGCACUUGGCAUAGAAGAGCUCUGAACUGAUGGAGCACGGGAUGAACUCUGAGCUAGAAGGGCACUAAGUGAUGACUGGCCUUGAUGAGAACCGUGACAACCAUAACCCGAUGAUGCCCUACGAUAACCUAGGCGAGCUGGCUGAGCAUGGCUGAACAGAUGGCCUCUGCCGUGCUGAAACUAACCUCUCGAAUGAGUACCACUAUAACAACCAGAUCCUCGAGGCCUCUUGGCCUCCCUCUCCUCUUGCUGCUAGCGACGAACAGACUCAAUCUCACAGGAAAUACCACAACCUCCUCGAAAGUAGCACUAGUCACCCUCUCCCUGCUCAUGAGAAUACGAAGCUGAUAAGUGAGGCCAUCCACAAACCUCCUAAUCCUCUCUCUAUCUAUCGAAACCAACCAAAUAGCAUGACGAGCUAACUAGAGAACCUUAUCUCAUACUGCGUCACAGUCAUCUCUCCCUGACACAACCACUCAAACUGCCUGCGCAGCUCCUCUCUAUGAGACUGCGGCACAUACUUCUCUAGAAAGAGAACGGAGAACUGUUGUCAGGUAAGGGGUGCUGCACCAACAGGCCUACGCCUCUCAAAAUCUCCCCACCAAGUGAAGGCAGCUCCAAAAAACUGAUAAGUAGUGAAAGUGAUCCCCCUGAUCUCUAGAAUACCUGCUGUACGAAUCAUCCUCUGACACUUUUCCAAGAAACCCUAGGCAUCCUCGCCCUCUGCACCACUGCAGGUUGGAGGCUGAAGUCUAUCAAACCUCUCCAACCUACGCUGCUCGUCCUCUGGCAUGGUAGAAACUACAUAGUCCUGAGCAGCUACAACUGUCUGGGUUAGAUGUGCCCCCGGUGUCUGAAGUCCCUGCACGACCUGCUCAGGUGUGCUAGCGGCGGGAGUCUGAUUGCCUCCCCGGGCCUGAGAAGUAGUUGUGGCUAUAGUAGCUGAGACCGCCUAAGCUGGUGUUGCUGGAGCGUCCAUACCUAGGACCUAAUCCUGAAUUGGGGCGGCUGGUAGAUUUGCAGGUGCUGCCCUAGCUGCUGUGUGGGCCACACAUCUACCUCCAUCGUGCCCAUGACCGCGUCCUCGACCUCUAUUAGCCACAGCUGGUGGUACUGGUGGUCGUCCAUCUUGAUCGGUAGCGUGUGUCCUCACCAUCUGUGAGAGAAUAGAAUAGUAGAAGUUUUAGUACUCAGAUCAACAAAUUUGCACGACAAGAAUUUCAAAAAUAUGAAGUUUUUCCUAAAGGUUCUGCAGCCUUUCGAGGAUAAAUACAGACGUCUCCGUACCGAUCUGUGAGACUCUACUAAACUUGCUCAUGACUCGUGAGAGCUAUGUAACCUAGGCUCUGAUACCAACUUGUGAUGACCCUAAACCCAGACCCGGUCGUGAUGGCGCCUCUCGUGAAGACAAUGCCAGCCAACACUUACCUAUUUCAGUUUUAAGCAGUUAACAAUGAGAAUUAAGUCUAAAAUAUGGUAAAUAAUCCAACAUUUAAGCAGUCAACAGUACAAAUAUGCGGAAGAACAACCCAACACAACCCGAUAUCGGGGUGUCACUAGUCAUGAGCAUCUAAAAAUCCAGAAUAAUCAAGAAAAGUCAACAGGGUUCAAUACAAAACUAAAACAAGGAGAAAUAAGAUAGGGAAGAAGCUCUGGGAUGCGAACGCCGACAGCUACCUAGAGAAUUUUCGGAUCCGCCUGAGCUGGAAAGAUCAAUACUCAGGAGUGGGAUCAGAUACGCCUGAAUCUGCACAUGGGGUGCAUGGAGUAAAGUGAGUACUCCAACUAAGUGAGUAAUAAUCAUAAAUAAAGACUGAAAGCAUAAAAUCACGUAAGGCACAUUACAGGCUAUAAUGAAGCAGUAAAAUCGGUAAAAACAGUAAAUUAGUAAAGAUAUGUGAAAGGCAUUUUAGUUCAAAUUAAACUUCAUGAAAAGACUUUUCAACAAUUAAGCAGGUAAAUGACAGGCAAUUAAGGAAGAUAAACACAUAAAGGUUCGCCCCUCGGACACAGUAUCAACAAAUCCGCCCCUCGAGCGAUAUCUCAGAACAGUACCAGCCCCUCAGGCUAUAUCUCAUAUCACAAUGGGUACCCGCACUCAAUGGGGGUGUGCAGACUCCUGGAGGGGCCCCUUACAGCCCAAGCGCAAUAUCAAGCCAUCUCGUGGCACCAUCACUAGGCUCUCGGCCUCAUAUCAACAAGCCACCUCCUAGCGUACACAUCUCAGGCCCUCGGCCUCACAAACAUGAUCAGUGUUUCCUUACAACAUAGGCCCUCGGCCUUACUCAGUCAAAAAUCCUCACAAGCCUCUCGGCAGUAGUAAAAUAUGAUUCUCAGCCCAGUUAUCAUUUAAAGACCACUUAAGUGUUAAAACAUAGUAAACAUGGCUUAGUAUGAAAAUAGUGGAAUAUAACAUGACUGAGUUCAAGUAUAAAGUCAAAAUAGUAAGGAAAUAUCAAUAAAAAUCCUCGAAGGGUUCAAAUAGUUGGCACGAGGCCCAAAUAUGGCGUUCAGCCCAAAAAAUGAUGAUAGCAAACAGAUUUCAGUCAAAUAUGCGGUAAAAUAGUCGUUCUAGAUGGACUAAGUCACGAUCCCCAAUAGGGCACGACCCCACGCUCGUCAUCAAACGUGUGCGUCACCUCAAUAUAGCACAACGAUGUGCAAAUCCGGGGUUUCAUACCCUUAGAACAUCAUUUACAAUCAUCACUCACCUUAAUCUGGUUAAAACUCUAGCCCGCGACGCCUUUGACCCCCGAAUCGGCCUCCACUCACGUCUAAUCUAUCCAAAAUCAGAAUCACGGCAUCAAAAUAUGUGAAGGGAACGAAGCCCAAGCAAAAAUAAUCAAUUUUCCACAUUAAUCCCGAAAUUACAAAAACCCGACGCCCGGGCCCACAUCUCGGAAUUCGAUAAAAUUCACAUCAAUGAUUUUCUUAUCUCCCCAUGAGUUCAUAUAUAUCAAAAGUACCAAAAUCCGACAACAAUGGGUCCCUCAAAUCCUCAAGUCUAGGUCUCCAAUACUAAGCCCUAGUUUCCCCAAUUUUAACCCUUAAAUUCCAUUAAUUAUAGCUCUAAUCCGUGAAAUAAUACCAUAGGGACAAUUUUUAGGGCCAAAAUCCUUGCCUCAAUGAAGUUCCUUUGAAAUUCCUCUUCAAAAUCGUCCAAAAAGCUCCAAAGCCGACUUAAAAAUGAUGAAAUAGCUCAAAAGAAUCGCGAAGGAAACAAUUUAUACCUUCUGGCCCAGGGAUUUUGCAUCUGCGGCCACUUUACCGCUUCUGCGGUUCCCAUUUCCCGCAUCUGCGGUCCUCACUUAAAUUCCCAUUUCCCGCAUCUGCGAUCCAAUAUCCGCACCUGCGCCAUCGCAGGUGCGGUCCUCCAACCGCUUCUACGGUUUCUGCCUCCCUAGCUCCUUUCCACUUUUGCGGCUCCCUUCCUCGCAUCUGUGACAUCGCACCUACGGUUCCCAAUCCGCAGGUGCGGAAAUACCAGAAGCAGAAAAUCUGCAGCUUCUUCAAAAAUUCCAAACUUCUUCGUCAACCAUCCAAAAUCACCCCGAGGUCCCCGGGACCUCAACCAAAAACACAUACAUAUCCCAUAACCUUAUUCAAACUUGUACCAAUCUUCAAAACACCUCAAACAACAUCAAAUCAACCAAAACACAUCGGAUUCAAGCCUAAGUUUCCAAAAUCCUCUAAAUUAUGCUUUUGAUCAAAAACCCAACCAAACCACGUCUGAAUGACUUGAAACUUUGCACACAUCCCAAUAAACACCGCAGAACUACUGCAACUCUGAAAUUCCAUUCCGACCCCUAUAUCAAAAUCUCACCUACCAACCAGAAAUCGAAGAAAUACCAACUUCGCCAAUUCAAGCCUAAAUCUACUCCGAACCUCCAAAACUCAUUUCGAUCACGCUCAUAAGUCCCAAAUCACCUUCCGAAGCUAUCCGAACCAUAGGAACUCACAUCCGAGCCCUCAAACACUUGAGUCAACAUCCGGUUGACUUUUACAACUUAAGCUUCCUCAAAAAGAGACUAAGUAUCUCAAACCUUAUCAAAUCCUUUCCGUACCCGAGCCAACCAACCCGAUCACAUAUAGAACCGAUAGAUAAAGCAAUAAGAAGCAAGAAUGGGAGAAACAGAGCAGUAACUUAUGAGACGAUUGGUCGGGUCGUCACAAUUGUAGUGCAAAAGAUCAAUAUGAAAGAAUGAUGAAGGGUAUGUUAGAUAUGUUGUACUUACUGGAGAGGUGGCAGUUUUUGAACUGUAUCAUAAAGUACUUGCUGCACAUUCUUUCCCUCCUCAUUUAUCACAUGAUCAUGCUCAUUGAGCAAUGCUUCAAACGAGUUAGAAAACUCGAUAUUCUUUGAUGUUAUGACCUGGUCUUUCAGACCUGGAGAUCUCCUAUUUUUAGGUGAUCGAUGCAUCACUGCUUGCUGCUGAUUAGCAGGUGAUCGAGUAACAACUGUCUAGUCCUCUCCAUCUAUAUUCUUUACUGUUCCAUCUGCCAUACCUAUCUUCUUUGGCCCAUCUUAGAAUUAGAUCUAUUCCCCAAGCCAACUGUUGCAAUUUGCUACUGCAUGAAUGGUACAAAAGCGUGUGCAUUUGGGCUUAAACCUUUCUUGCAUUAACUCCUUCACGUUCCUACCCCUCAUCUUGUGUAACACUAGCUAAAAAACCUACUGGUUUUUGAACUACAACAAUUACAGCACUAGAUUUAGGAUCCCUAAUAGUAGGUCGAUUACCAGUUGUAUUCAAUGCAACAUUAGCCUCCAACUUCGAACCUAUAGUAGCUGCUUCAAUUCAACUUUUUCAACUGCCACUACUACAUGAUUCUUAGUAUUGUUUCCUCGAUCACGCCCUGUAACAGCUACACUACCUCAAAACAUCUAUAUCUUCAAGACCUUGCCCUUCAUCGUGCACUACAGUAGGUUUAAUAACUGCUGGUUUUUCAACCAUCUCAACUGUAGCAGUAUUAGCUUGAUCACCCAUCUUAUGCAAACUUGUAUGGUUUUGUAAAGUUGAUCCCAUAGCCUGGUAAAUCCUUGCUAACACGGUAGCAGCAGGGAUAUCUGGGAACUAGAGCUCUUUUCGUUCCUAGGAUUGUCAAGAGCUUUUAAGUUAUCCAUGUCAUGAGCUAAAAGAGCUUAGAGGAUAUUUGUAGGAGUCAAAUAAUAUUGUGCAGCCACUCCACUUGUAAUAGCUACCUGUCCAAUAGAUUUUUGGAUCAAAUUAAGCUUAGAAACCGUACCUGAUAGUUGAUGUCCAGUUAGAAGAAAAGCAGCAACAUUAGGACUGAACUGUCUUACUUUGCACACUAGUAGAUGGACUCGCAACCUGCCCAACCACAGUUACCGCCCCUUCCUUUGCUUUACCCCCUUGUCGUGUUGACGAACCAUUUUCUUGAGUGUUUAGAUCCUGGGAAUCACCAACAUAAUUUUCUUCACCUUCAUCAUACUCUUCUACUUGGUCAGCCCAUGUCUUAUGCUUAGAGUUAACUGCCUCCUGUAGCUCGUUUAAAUUCUGGACAGGUUCAUCAUUCAACUCAUCUUCACUUAUCAUGUCAUCAUGUUCUUCUCGUCUGGUCAGCCCCUCCUUUUGGUUGUUUUGUUGCCGACGACAUCGUGGAUAAAGUUUGCUAGAUGUUUGAAACUUGUAACAUGUCGCCAUAUCGAUCAAACAAAUCAUUGGAGGGGAUAUCAUGUUGGGAUAUAUUCAAACCGACCCUAACUAUGCCAAUGUUUUCUUUCACCUCUUGAAGAGACAGUCCUUUCAUUGGAUUAUGCAAAAACCCAGGCAGAACUUGCAAAGGAUUCAUGCUCUCCAGAAUUUUAGCUCCAAUUGUAGUAAGAUUAACAUUAGCAGGUGCAAUAGAGUUACUGGAAACUACAACAAGCUGCCCAUUCUUAUGUGUUGAAUCCUUCUCUAUGUUGGCACUUGUUAGCCGAUCCUCCCCCACCAGAACAUCAUAAGCAUUUGUACUACAAAAAUGUUUGUCACCAGCAGAUCGAUUUUGAGAAAGAAUUCCAACUGAUGCCUUCUUUUUGUGUGUUCUGAACUCCAGCCUUCCUUUCUAUUCACAUCCACUCCUUUCUUGCUACUAGAGUUUGUAACCUGUUCCAAUAGUUCAUUAGGUUUGGUAGAUUGUGCAGCAGAUUGUGCUGGAACUGCACCAGUUCUGCCUGAAUUCACAAACAACUGCCCAUCUUUUUUCUCCUUUCCUACUUGUACUCUAUCUUUUGCUUGAUCAUCUGUAAUUUGUUGUGACUUCCCAGCUGUUUCCUUUGCCUUAACACCUGCAUCAGUUGCACUAUCCAAAACUUUCACACCUUUAAUACCUUGCCCUUGAAUAUGCACAGCAGUAGGUUUCAAACCUGCUGGUUUUUGACUUCAAGUGCAGUGGUGGUUUAAUAACUGAUGGGUUUUCAACCAUUUCAAGUGCAGUAGCAUUAGCUUGAUCUCCCCCGUAUUCAAAUUUAUGUGAUUUUGUAAAGCUGAUCCUACAACCUUGUAGAUCGUCACCAAAGCUGUAGCAGCAGGGAUGUCUCUAGGAAGUUUAGAUUUGACAAGAAUUUUCUGUUGAUCAUCACACAUCUGCACAGUGUUUUUAGCAGCAAUCUUACCACUGUUGCCUCCUUGAUCCACCAGUGAAACUCCUCGAUCAUGUAUCCUUUCUUGAGACACAUUUGGCCUUUUCAAAACAGUACCUUUAGGCGUAGGAUCACUUGUAUCAAUUGUAGCAGCAGCUGUUUGUAAAACCUGUUGAAGAUGCCCAGGUACAACACUAUUAACCUUGGUAGAUUUAAUAGCCUACACAUCAGCUGGCACAACCUCUGAAUCUUGCACAAGGCUACUUCAACUAGGACUCCAUCAAUCCCAUUAACGACAACUGAAUAUAAGCUAAACUUUUACCAGAUGCAUGCACAGUAGCAGCUUGUUGAUUUUCACUAGCUUGCAACUACAAUAACUUCUGUUGCCCAUCUACUGAACUGCUGGUUUAAAUUCGUCAGUUGUAUGAUCUACACCUUAAGAGAUUUAACAUAUCAUAUGUGUGAUCAUUGCGAGGAAAUUUAAUGGCAGCUCUUGUGAUGCUAAUUGAUGAGAAAAAUCUUCAAAAUGAAACUGUAGAUAAUAUACAGAAAUAGAAGGUGAUUCACAGCUCUAUAUUCUAAGUAUCAGCUUCAGAAUCAAAGGAUAAAGAGAUGCAGAGGGGACAGAGGAGAUGACCAAUUUUUAGCUCCUAAUAACCACAGUUCUUCACUCAUAAGAUAAUAAAGUAAGUGGUAUUCUAUUAUUAGACCAGAUAUUGUCCCAAAGUUGAAGCACUUACCAAUUUAAACAUUCAGAAAGGCAUAUAUACACAUGGAUUGCUCGCUCUCUCUCUUUUCUUCUUCUGGUGCAAAGGAAUUUAGACCCCACGUUGUGGGAAAUAUUGCUGGUGCAAAGGAAUUUACCUGAACAGUUGUAUAGAUUUUGUGGAUUUCUAAAAUGAAAUCCAUAUUGUAUAGUUCUUUUUCCAAGGAUGGCACUUGUAUAAUGAUUUGACAACAAUGAAUUAUAUAACAUUUGCUAGCACGUAUGGUAAAAAAGAAAAGAAGCAUAUUAGAAUUCUCAAUAUAACUGAAGGAUUCUUAUGAAGAAUUGCAGUUCAUUUGUAGCUUAUUUAUAAAAUCCUUACAAAAAUAUAUUCUCAAUUUUCGAAAGUACUAAAAAUUUAACAUAUUUAUUCAUUCUUUAUUGUAAAAAUUAAGGCUGUUACAUGGGAUAUAGGCCAGUGAAAUGAUGGAUGUGAGAAAUUAUUCAAACGGAUUAUAAAAAUAAUGUUCGAUCGUAGAUUGACUAAUAUUCCUUAGUAAAGGCGACUAAUAUGUUUUUAUUUGCUUAUGUUCAUUUCUUGUUCAUUGCCAUACUAAUAUUUUUUGGUUGACUAUAUAUGUAUAUCAAUUUUGUAUAUGCACUGGAUUAUGGCACCUGAUAAGCAAUGGAUGAAACUUAUUCAUGAUCGACUUGAUAACGCUUACAUACUUGGGGUGGAGAACUUUCUGGAUUAUGCUUUUAAAAGAUUGGGAGAACACGCAAAAUACAUUGUCCAUGCGGCAAAUGUUGUAGUGCAAUUUUAGGAACACGUGAGCUGGUUAGGUCACAUUUAAUAGCAGAAUGGUCCAAAAUUAUACCCUUUGGUAUCACCAUGGGAAGAGAUUAGGUGAGUCUUCUUCAGAUUAUGAAUUUGUAGAUGAUAAGAUCAUUGAAGAGGGUGAUGGUGAGGAUGAAAUACAUGAAAUUUUAAGAGAUUUAUAUCCCACUUUUGAAGGAGACAAUAUGAACAAUGAUGGUGAUGGGCAGUUGGAGGAGGAACCAAAUAUUGAAACAAAAAGAUUUUAUAGGAUCUUAAAAGAUUUUGAGCAACCAUUGUACCAAGAUUCAAAAGUUUCUAAACUUUCUACUUUGGUUAAGUUGCUUCAUAUCAAAAGUAUUGGUAAUUGGAGUAAUGCGUCAUUUACAAUGUUGUUGAAGCUCUUGAAGGAAGAUUUAUUGCCGGAUGGAUCAAACUUGCCAAAUUCAUAUUACGAAGCAAAGAAGGUAAUUCGGCACCUAGGGCUUUUUUACAAGAAGAGUGAUGCAUGUAAGAAUGAUUGUAUGUUAUACUGGAAUGAUGAUAAGUCUCUUGUGUCUUGCAAAGUUUGUGCUGCAUCUAGAUGGAAGGAGGAUAAACAUAGCGGGGAAACCAAAUUUAAAAGUAGGAAAAAGAUACUAUACAAAAUUUUACGUUAUUUUCCUUUAAAGCCAAGACUUCAAAGAUUAUUUAUGUCUUCGAAAAUAUUACUCUGAUGAGAUGGCACCAUGACAAAAGAGUUGAUGAUGGAAUAAUGAGGCACCCAGCUGAUUCAAUAGCGUGGAAAACGUUUGAUAAACUUCAUCAAUCUUUUGCAUCCGAGCCUCGUAAUGUUCAACUUGGGUUGGUUAGCGAUGGAUUUCAACCAUUUGGAAAUUCUAAAACUCCAUAUAGCAUUUGUCAUGCGGUACUUAUUCCUUAUAAUUUACCACCUUGGCUAUGCAUGAAGAAUAAAAAAUUUAUUUUGUCGAUGAUUAUUCAUGGUCCUGGGAGUACUGGAGAUGCUAUUGAUGUCUAUCUCAAGCCUUUGAUAAAGGAAUUAAAGGAAUUGUGGGAAUCUGGAGUGCAGACCUUUGAUGCGUCAACUAAACAAAACUUUGUGUUACAUGCAUCUUU
rnacentral:lncRNA from 1 species